CUAUAGUCCCAAAACUAUUAUCAAUUUUUAGAUAACACAAGCAUAAACCAGUAAAUAAUUCCUCAUAAUGCAUACGGUUAAGUUGCAUACGGUUAAGGUAAACAUGAAUACUGAAAAUAACACAUUUCCGUAACAAUAACAUGAAACAAAGACUAAACUAACCCAAAAAGAGCAAAAAACACUUAUAGAAUUGCACACCUAAGAGUCAGAUGAUCAUGUCUAACAUCCACUUUGUCUGUUCUUGAACCAAUUCAACGCGCUCCAAGUACACCUCAGCCUCCUUAAUUAUCAGUGCCUUCCACCUCUAAUCAAAUACCUGCGCUUUCGAGCUUCCAAGCUUAUCCCAUCCAUCCUUGGCAGUAAUCUCUCCAAAAUCCGCUGGUGGCAUUGGCAGAGACAAACGAUUCUGAGGCUUCAAUGAUUGAUCCAAGUACUGAUACUGUGAACCAAUUAUAUUAUCUUCUUCCAUUAGAUCCACCACCUUUGGAGAAACAGCUAAAUUACGUGUGAAAACUUAUAUCAACAAUCCGCUGUUGACGUGUUUCGAACCCACGACCUCUCCACUUUGUGAGAGGGGUGCUACCAUUGAGCCACAGGCUCGCCUUUUGAGUUUACUCUUACUCUUGUUCAAAGCAGUUACUCCUGAUUUGUUUUCUUCGGCAUCUUUAAAGAUCUGAUCAUCCCAAAUCUCCUUGGACAAAAGAUAUGACUUAAGCUCAUGGGGGUUUGAAAUAGUUGGAUGUCCAGCACCAGGCUUGGCUCUUUUUGCAUUUUUUCGAUACUUGUUAUGUAACCUAUGAACCUUAUUGAUAAUUUGACUCAAAUUAGCCCCAAUAUUAACAGAACCCUUGAGAAAAUUAUAGAAUUCACUCAAAGCAGAGUUAGUAAUUUUGUUUCCCUUGUUUUUAAACUCAAGCAAACCAUUUAAUACAUCAAUUUCAUCUUUUUCACUAAAAAUCCUUUGAAACAACUUUUUUUCCUCACCUGAUUUUUUUUCUUCAAUAUCAGCAAUUUUCUUCUUCUUCUUCUUAGAAUCUUUGUCAUUGUUAUCUCCUGUUUCCAAUGGACGUUUCAUAGCAGCAGAAGAAGUGGAGGUGGAGGUGGAGGUUGGUUUCUUUGUAGAUUUGGGAGUAUCAACAAUGGGUUUUGAUGAAAUGGGUUUCUUAGUAGAUUUUUGAGUAUCAACCAUGGGUUUUGAAGAAAUGGGUUUCACAGUAGCAACCAUAUGUUGAACAGGUUCAUUAUCUGAAUCAGAAUCAGAAUCUGAAUCUGAAUCUGAACCAGAUUCUUCUUCUUCUUCUUCUUCUUCAACAGGGUUUGAAGAUUGAAUGGGUUUUGGUGUUUUUUCUUCUUCUGAUUCUGAUUCUGAUUCUUCUUCUGAAUCUUCACCUUCAGUACCUUCAGUACCUUCAAUUUCAUCUUCAGAAAUAGAAACAGAUGAUGGUGGUUGAUCUGAUGGAGAUGGGCGUUUUGGAGCCAUUUUUGAUAACAAGAUGAAAUUCAAGUGUUUUAGGGUUUAAUUAAAACAAGAGGGAGGAGGAAGUUCAAGUGUUUUAGGGUUUAAUUAAAACAAGAGGGAAGAGGAAGUUCAAGUGUUUUAGGGUUUUGUGAAUUGUAAUCAAACUUUUCGUCUCGAGAUGUGUAACAUUUGACACUUUUGUAAAUUAAAUGUGGUGUCAGACCUAAAUUCGACCUUCAGGCCUCCACUUUCAAAUAGCUCAUUACCCAAAGUCUUAAAACUUAAUUCCAUCAAAUUAAAAUGUUGAAAAUAUCACUUGUUUUUCCAAUUGGUCUAAGAACCACUUUACUUGCGAACUUCUGUACUACAGUUACUAGGUGUUUAAACCCGUGCCACACAUUGGGAUAUGUGUGAUCUGAUAUAUGGAAAAUCAAAUGCAAUGCUAUUGCUCAAAGGUUAUGAUUUGUGAUUUUCUUAAUCUAUACAUUUGUGAAAGUUAUAUCCCUGAUUUUUUUUUUUAGGCACAAUCGUCAUGUAUCACUUUUUUGGGACUUUCAUUAAAGUCUCCAAUCAAAUAAGAGUUGUCCAUACCUGAUUGUAAAAAGGACAUGUAAUGCACAAAAAUGAUUCUGAUAAAUCUUACUUGAAAUUUGAAAAUACUCCAAAAACAUGAUUACUGAUGGACUCAAAUAAACAUUAGACAUAAUUUCAUGCAAUUACAAUGAACAAUAUUUCAAGUUGCAGACAUGUCCUUAGGAGCAAAGUGUGUGACCUCAAUGUGAAAGCAGCGUCAAUACUGGUUUGUCAUCUUUCUUGACUUCAUCGUAUCUUUUUGAGCAAAUUUGAGAUACCCCAGAAAAGUUUGUACUCUUUGCGAUUGCCCCCAAUAAAAAGUUCAUUAGUGAUACCCCAAAACUCAUUUGUUGCUGGUCAAUCGAGUCAUUGACCAAGGCUUGACCAAUCUUUUUUUAUUUUAGACAAAACUACCCCUUCAUUCAAUUAAAUUGAAAUCCUAGUCAGUUGCCAUGUCAACCACUACCUCUACCACAUCACUAUCGUCGCCAUCACCACCACCACCAUAUUUCGCAAAAUUCUUAAGAAGAAAUUAUUUCCAAGAUUAAAUACUAAAAUACAAUCAUUUUUUAUAAUAAACAUCAAUCUCAUCAUUUCCAUUGUUUGAGUAAGAAAACCUAUCACCACCACGUACAUUUCUGUAUUAACCUAUUUCUAGAUUAAUGCACUACUAGAUCAGGUCGUUGGGAGACUUGACCAAAGGGGAGGUUUUAGAUCGGGGUGGUUGCACUUCGUUGAGAUCGAGAUUGCCUACGUACUCUUAGCUUGAGGGAAUUGAACUUAGAGAUCAAGCCAUCGUAGUUCUGUUCUUAUAGAAGGUAGAAAGGCGUGGAUUGUGGAUCUUGCAGAUUCUCCGCCGUCAUAAUGAGGAUUGAUUGUGUAACGCGCGAGGACCAUCCUUGUGAAUUAAUUAUGUAACUGACGAGGAUAUUCUGUGCAUUGAAUGAGAGCACGUGUGUAUAAGCAGGUCGCCGCUGGUUGCGUGGUUGGGUCGUUGCUGUCGAGCUACUAGCAGGUAGGGAUCAUGGCGACCUGAUGGUUGAAUGACUGUGCCACGUGGCUGCUUUUGAUUGGAUGGAGUAUGUAGUACCCCUAGGUAAGCCCCCUCUUUUUAGGUCGGCUGUAGAAGUCGGGCUGAAAAGACUAAGAACUCUGAUCGAUGCUGAUUUAUAGUUUGUUUUUUAGAUUUGCUGACGUGGCAGUCAUGCAGGCUUGUCUGUACUAAUCAUGGCGCUCUUACGGGGAAGUGGAGGAUUUUCCUCGAGCAGCUAGCUGUGCAGUUAUGGCAACUGACGCACUUCUUGCCUGAUAUGGUCUUUGUGUGCCAAGUGGGAUGAUCCGACGGUGGAUGUGAAUCAUUUGUUAAGUGGAAAAUAACUGCAAUAGAUGUGGAUCCUCUGCUCGAUCUCAGCCGUUUACCUGUUUCGAACUGAUGGCUGGGAUUGUAUGUGCUACAGUAUUUAAACUGUAGCUCUCUUGAGAAGGGUUUACCUAUCUCGCCUUUAUUUGAAUUGUUGCCGCUUUUCUCUUGCGAUCUGAAGAACCUUGAGAGCUCGUGAGGUUAGUUUUCUUCUCUUUCUUUUCUUUCAUCUUCUAUUUUCUUUUCUGUUGCUUGAUAGAAAUGUCUGACCUGAGUGACUCUCAAAAUGAUAAUUUGAGUGGUGGUGGUGGUGAGGAGUAUGAGUCUGAAAGGACUCAUUCUGAAGCCUUGUCUCCCGUUCAUGGUGUGGACUCUGAUAGCCCCCAGAGUAGCGGUUCUCAUGGGGCGGACUCGUCUGAGGAGGAAAUGGUGGAAGGAGACGAUGGCUCGAUGUGUAGAGUAGUGAACCUUAAGUAUGUAAAUAGGCAUAUUGCGUUUAGGAAGCAGUAUGGUCUUAGCUCGAUUGAGCAUUUGGAGAUUAGAUUUUUAGGAGAUCGUUUACUUUCUGCUGAGUAUCGACCUAAAAAUCCCUUCUCGACUGUUUUUACUUUGACCCAAUUCCGAGCUGGGCUGAGGCUGCCAUUGUCUUGUUUGGUGGUCGACCUGUUGAAUGCUAUUGGUCGAGCCCCCUGCCAGAUGAAUGGCAAUUUCUGGAGAAAUAUGAGGGUAAUUGACGACCUCAAUAAGCUGCAUAAGUGGAACAUUACUGUAAGUGAUGUAUUGGACCACUUCAGCUUCAAACGUUCUUCAAAGGCUGAUUUUUCCGGCUAUAACAUGCAAGUUAGGCCAGAACGUUUGCCUUUGAUCUAUCCGGUAAGUAGUGAGCCAUGGUGGAAAGAUCCCAUGCUGAUUACUGGGUCGAUCAUCGAGGGGAGUAUCCAGUUGCGUCAUGUGACUAGGAAUGAUGCUCGUGAGUUUCUGGUUAUUAGUCUCAAUACUGUAGAUUGUUUUCCUGUUUCCGGACUUGAUGAUUUUGUAUCUUUUUUGCAGCGAUCAGGGACGAUCAUCUUUUGAGGAAGAACGAUCUGCAGUCCGCUUUGAACGGUUUUGGUUUCUUGGCUGACCACCGUAAGAUACAGCUAUUACCCCACCUGAAGGAGCAUUUUAUUCCCAAAGGUGGUCCGAAAACCGUUGAAGAAGAGCUCGAGAGGAGGAAGUUGCUGAGGAAAGUGCAUAUGUCUUCUGUACAUAAAGCUGAGACUGGGCGUUCUGGUGGUAGUUCGUGUGCUGGGGAGAAGGAGCGAGCUAGUGGUAGCUCGAGGCCUGAGGAGAGAGAGCGAUCUGGAAGCACUGCUCGGAGGUCGGAGAAGGAACGAUCUGGGGUUAGUUCGCGCCGGGGGGAGGUAGUGGCGAGCCCACCAGUCGUAUCCCCUCCGGCCUCACUCCCUAAAUUACCUGCCUUGGCCGGGAAGAAGAGGUCGCUUUCAGGGAACCUGAAGUUGGUGGAGCCUCCAACUAUGCCGUCCUCUGCUCCUCCAAAGUUUGUGAAAUCUCCUGAGCCUCCCCUGAAGUCCAGGAAGACUGCUGUUGGGCCUUUGCAGAAAGGCAAGGGGGUAUCGUCUGAGUUUUGCCCUGGGCCGUUCGAUUAUUUGGAUGGUCGCGGUGAGAAGUAUGUCGUGUAUGAUAACGACAGUGCUAUUGACGACCCCUGCGUUGCUCGGGCUGUGAAUGAGGGCAUCGUCCUGGAUGCUGAUGCUCGAGCAGUGAAGUCGCAGACUUUGUUGGUGACCUGCUCGAAGAUAAACGCGGCGCUGUCUUUGGUGAGUGUUGUCAUAAGUCUUUUUUGGUUGUGCUUAGCCAUUGAUGGCUGAACUCUGUUUGUACUUGCAGCUCAACGCAAGCUUCCAAGAGGUGCGUCUGGUUGCUGAGGUUGGUGCUCGAGCUGAGAUUGAGUUGAAGGACCUCAAUGAGAAGCUCGAGCAGGAGAAGAAUGUUGUUGUUGUUGCUGAGUGCAAGGUGAGGGACAGGGAUGCGCAGGUCGCGGCUUUGAAGGAGAUGGUGGAGCAGCUGAAGGAGGCGGUGGAGCAGCUGAAAGAAGAUUCUGCUGCUGCUAAGGCUUCUGCUGAAUACUGGAAGCAUGCAUGCCAAGAGAAUGGCGCAGCGUGGAAGGCCUACUGCGACAACUUGAAGGAAGCUUUGAUGGGGUCGUCCGAAGGAGAGGAGACGCGAGGUGGUGCCGAUGGAACUUUGGUGGCAGCUCAGGACACCUUGACGGGCCCUAAUGACCAUGUCGCCAGUGGCCCCACGGAGAUUGAUGGUUCCGGCGACCAGUCUGUGCAGCAGUGAGCUAGACCUGGUACCGACCUUCUUGUAUUGGGUAACCUUGCGCAAAGUUUGUUUCUUGCACUCCUUGUUCUUGCAGUAAGUCUUCUUUGGCCUUCCUCAAAGCACUCUUCUGAGUUUGCGAGCUUGAGUAGACAAUCAUUUGUUUUGUUUGGAGUUGUAAUGAACAACAGUAAUUGAUAGUUUAUUUGAUGAGCUUGUAAUUAAGCCGUUCUGAUCAGCUAGUUUCCAGGGAGUCCUGGUAGCUCGUUCAGAAGGCAGGUAGACGAGAUGAAUGGCUGCAAGCAAGACGAACUGAAACCGUUCUUCUUGUAUGCCUUAGUUUAACUUUGCUUUUACCUGUAGUGGUUAGAAUCUCAUCAAGUAAAAAGAAAUUUCGCUGAUUUACCUUAUAUUGCCAUUCUUGUUACGUUGUCUGCUUGUAUGAGUUUUGCAAACAAGUAGUAAUCAUAAUGCUGGACCUGCUGGUAAAUGAGGUCGCAUGCAUGGUUGCUUGAUUGUACAUGGGUCGUGGGAAUGAUAUGACCAAUGCACCAAGUUAAGUUGCAGAUGUUUGAACUUAACAAAAUUAAAAUUAUCAAAGGGACUAGAUUUUUGAUAAUUUGUAGGUCGAGGGAUUAGACCUUUGGGAGCCAGUCAUGUUUGAGCUGAGAUGAAGGCAAAAGUAGUUUGUAUAUUGAAAUGUAAUGGAUAGAUGCUUACAUUUCAUUGAUAAAACUUUUUCAAGUGAUAAGCAUUCCAUGGGUUCUUAACGAUCUCUCCUUCUGGUGUUUGAAGACGAUAAGAACCGUUGCUUUGGACCUUGGUAAUAAUGUAAGGGCCUUCCCAAUUGGCAUUGGGUUUGCCAAUAAUAUCCUUCCUUUUGUUGUGGAACAUUUUCCUUAGAACUAGUUCUCCUGGUUGAAAAGAUCUAGGUCGUACGCCUUUGUUAUAAGCUCGCUUUAGUCGUUGUUGAUACUGUGCAAGCUUUAUAACGGCGUGGUUUCGUCGCUCCUCGAGGAGAUCGAUUCUGAACGACCAGACCUGAUUGUUAAGCUCUGUGUCGACCAGAAGGGACUUGGUCGUUCCGAAUGUUAACUCGGUGGGAAUAACGGCCUCAACUCCAUAGCAAAGACUGAAUGGUGACAUCCCUGUGGAUGUACGAGGGGUUGUUCUGUAAGCCCAUAUGAUGUUUUCCAACUGUUGUGGCCAUUGAUCGUGUUGAUCUUCGAGCUUUUUCUUUAAGUUGUUCAGAAUCUGACGAUUUGUAGCUUCGACUUGGCCGUUGGCUUGUGGAUAUCUAGGUGUUGACCUGGAAUGUUCGAUUUUCCAUAGCUCGUAGAAAGCUUUGAUGUUUUUGCCCACGAACUGAGUGCCAUUAUCCGUGACUAUUCGCUUUGGUAGACCGAAUCGUGUGAUUAUGUUUUCCCACAUGAAUCUUUGAACAUCAGCUUGAGUGAUGUUGGCGAGUGCAACGGCUUCUACCUAUUUUGUGAAGUAGUCAAUGGCGACUAGAACAAACUUCUUUUCAGACUUCUUUUCUUUGAUGAAAGGGCCCAUGAUAUCUAGCCCCCACAUGUGAAAUGGCCAUGGCGCAGUGAUGUUUAUUAGAUCGUUUGGAUGCUGAUGUUUGUUAUCAGCAAAACGCUGGCAUUCUUUACACUUCAACACAAAUUUCUUGGCUUCUUCUUUCAUUCUUGGCCAGAAAUAUCCCUGGGAGAUCGCUGUAUGAGCUAAUGUUCGACCUCCGGAGUGGUUUCCGCAUUCUCCUUCAUGGAUUUCUUGGAAGAUGAUCUGGCCAUGCUUGGGAAUCAAGCACCGUAACAACAGACCGGUUGCAGAUUUUCUGAAUAGCUUACCCUCAUGGAGUUUAUACAUAGUGACUUUAUGUAAUAGUUGACUGGCUUCCUUUUUGUUGGAUGGUAACACACCAGUUUGAAGGUAAGUGAUGAAAGGUUCCAUCCAAGUUCCUUGGAUGUCUGCUUGUUUGUGGCUAGUAGAUCAGAGAUUUGAUGAACAUCUUCCUCUUUCAAUAGAUAUGCGGGCUGCGUACUGAUUGCUAUAGUGAGAGCCCGCGGUCGAUCUGACUCGAUCUUAGAUGCUAAGAAUGCCAGUGAGUCAGCAUGUCUGUUGUCAUCUCUAGGGAUGUGAUCGAUUGUGAAAUAACUGAACUUGCUGAUGAGUUCUCUUGCUUUGCUGGCAUAUCGGAUUAAGUUGACACCAUUGAUCUGGUAGUUAUUGGUAAUCUGAUUGACUACCAAUUGGGAAUCACUGUACACCUUGAGGCGGACUGCCUGUAGGUCGAUAGCCAUUUGUAGGCCUUGGAUUAAAGCUUCGUAUUCGGCCUCAUUGUUGGAGGUCGAGAAGUCGAGACGAGUUGCUCUCUCGAGCUGUGAACCUUCAGGAGAAAUGAGCACAGUACCUAUGCCACUUCCGUUGGAGUUGUGGGAACCAUCAACAUAUAGUUGCCAAGUGUCGGGAGGACUGUCCUGGACUUUCUUUGUUUCUGGUUCUGGUUCCCAAUUGAUAUCCUCUGCUGGAUAGUCUGCUAAGAAGUCUGCAACGACCUGUCCUUUAACGGCCUGCCGAGAGAUGAACUCAAAUGUGUAAUCACCCAACUCGGCUGCCCAACGAGCCAUACGACCUGUUUUGUUCUUCUUUUCUAAUAUAUGGCAUAACGGCUGGUCGGUGAUUACUUUGACAGUGUGGGCUUGAAAAUAAGGUCUGAAUUUGCAUGCAGCAUAAAGGAGAGCUAAUGCUAACUUCUCUAGAGGUGUGUACCUUAUUUCGGCCUGUUGUAAGACUUUGCUCGUGUGAAGUAAAUUGGUCUUUCGACCUGAUUAUCCUCUUUGAAAAGCACUGCACUGAUCUCAAAAUCUGAAGUUGCGAGGUAGAUGCCGAGUAUAUCUCCGUCAUUAGGCUUAGUGAGAACUGGUGGAGUGGAUAAAUAGGCCUUGAGGUCGGUGAAGGCCUUCUCGCAUUCUUCUGUCCAUUCAUAUGUAGCCCCCUUCUUUAGAAUAUGAAGCAUUGGUCUACAUUUAUCUGAUGCUCUAGAAAUGAAUCUAUUGAGAGCUGAUACCAUGCCGUUGAGUUUUUGGAUCUGCUUCUUUGUUUUCGGGUUGGGCAUGUCAAUCAGUGCUCUGAUCUGGUCUGGAUUUGCUUCGAUGCCUCUUUUUGUGACUAGGUAGCCGAGAAACUUUCCUGAUGCGACCCCGAACAGACACUUCUCUGGAUUAAGACGCAUCUUGUAUUGUCUUAAUCUUUGGAACGCCUGGUCGAGAUUGUACAAAUGAUCCUGCUCUUAGCUACUCUUGACCAGCAUAUCGUCAAUGUAGACUUCCAUUGUUCGACCUAGUAGGUCGUCGAACAUUCUGGUGACCAGUCUCUGAUAGGUCGCUCAUGCGUUCCUUAAACCAAAUGGCAUAACCUUGUAGCAGAAGAUGCCUUGUUCUGUUGUGAAAGAGGUCUUCUCCUGGUCGGGCUCGUACAUUGGGAUCUGGUUGUAUCCUGAGUACGCGUCCAUGAAUGACAAUAGCUCGAAACCGCAUGUCUGAUCGACUAACCUAUCGAUUCGUGGCAGUGGGAAUGAAUCUUUAGGACAAGCUUUGUUCAAGCUUGUGAAGUCAAUGCAGACUCUUGUUUUCCCAUUCUUCUUUAAGACUGGCACUAUGUUGGCUAGCCAGUCUGGAGUAUCGACUUCUCUGAUGAAUCCGACCUGUUUGAGUCUACUGAUUUCUUCAUUGACUGCUUCGUGAAACUUGGGAGCGAGCCUUCUUGGUUUUUGCUUGACAGGUCGAUAAUUCGGAUUGACGCGCAGUUUAUGACAUGCAAUUGAUGGAUCUAUUCCAGGCAUAUCGAUAUACGACCAAGCAAAAACAUCUUUAUUAGUUGAAAGAAAAUUUACAAAGUUCUGGAACUUAUCUCCUUCUAACUCUGCACCUACAUAGACCUAUCUCGGGUCAUCUUCUGACCCAAGGUUCACACAUAUUCCUGGAUCAGUGCUUCCGAGAUUAAGUUUGGUUGAGCUCGUUGGCUCCUUCUGUAGUUGCUAUUUGGUAGCAUCGACCUUUUCUUUUGAAGGGCUUUUGGACUUGUUGUCGCCCUCUCGAGCCUCUGAUGAGAUUGGGCUCUUCCCUUUGACGUCAGCAUCCUUGGUUCCAGACGUGGAUGGCUUUGCAGGUGCCACAGCUUCAAUAAUUCCAUGGCAUUCCUGAGCAGCGUUCUGGUUACCACGAAGUUCCAUUAUGCCAUGAGGUCCGGGAUAGCGGAAAACUUGAUGAUAUGUUGACGGAACACCUCUCAUGGCAUGGAUCCAUUUUUGACCCAGAAUCGCAUUGUACUUACUUGCGAUGUUGAGGAUGCUGAACUUGGCAGUGACGACGACCUUAUCUUCCUUACGGCCCACAGUGACGGGCAGCAGAAUUUCACCCUUAGGAUCUUCCCUCGAGCUAUUGAAGCCUAGGAUGGGUGUGAAGUCAGGGAUGAGAACUGAAUCGGGCAACCUCAUGUCUUUGAAGGUUCUGUACAUGAGUAUGUUGCAGGAUGCACCAGGGUCAAUGAGUACCCUCUUAAUGAUGUAAUCAGCAAUUCGUAGUUCAACGACAAGGGCGUCGUUGUGAGGGGUGACGACCUUGUUGAGAUCGUCCUCUGUGAAUGUGAUGUCGGAUUCCUGGCGAGCCUGGAUGUUAAAGCGAGCUGCUCGGCCAGUAAUAGAGUAGACAUGAUGAAGAUGUUCUACCCUUCUCUUCUUGUCCCUCGAUACGGGGGUGGAGUCGGAUUCAUAAAUCAUGUAAACGACAUGACUUUCCGACUCGCUGUCGCUGUCAAUCUUGUUUGCGACCUUCUUGUUGAGCUGGUCGCGUAGGUCACCUGUUGGACCUAGACGUUGGGAGAGGCUACGCCCUCUACUGUGGACUGGACUUGCGGAGGCUGUUCUGGCCUUGCUGUGAUUCCUCAUUGGUGAACGGGGAGGGGUUCUGGAUCCCUUCCUCGCCCGCUUGCUUGUGGUAUCCUCUUGUUUUCCGAGGAUCCAAUUGUUGAGCCUUUUCUCAUCGGCCCAUGUUUGAAGAGCGCGUUUCAGAACGCUACAGUCAUCUGUUUGAUGACACCGUACCUUGUGGACUUUGCAGUACGGUCGACCAGAUGUGUCCUCCAACUGUGUGGAGGUCGGAAUCUUGCACCAAUGGUUGUGCUUGAUUCGCUCAUAGAUGUAACCGGCUGGUCUUGUGAACCCGUGAUACUCUCGUUGCUCGGUAGGCAACGACUUUGCUUUGAACCUCUUGUUAUCAGAUCGAGGUCGCUUGGUGAAGCUAGACUCUACAUUGCUGACUACAUGAUUAUUUUCCCUUCCAGUGAGGGCUUCCUCGAGCUUGAUGUAAUGGUCUACCUUUAAGUAGAGCUCGUCUAGGGAUGAAGGUCGCUUCAUGGCUAGAGAUUUGUAGAGGUCGGACCCCUGGAUCAGACCGUGAGAGAAUGCGAUGGUUGCGAAGGUCUCAUGCUCCUUUGCAAAAUCCUGAAUUGAAUGCAGUUCAGAUUUAAAACGCGCAAAGAAAGUGCUUAGUGACUCACCAUCCCGCUGCUUGACUUUGAAGAUUUGAUCGAUGGUGACGGGUCGCUUCUUGUUGUGGAUGUAGAAAAUGACAAACUACUUUUCGAGCUCGGCAAACGAGCUGAUGGAUCCUGAUUUCAAACGGUGAAACCAGUCGAGAGCAGGCCCAGUGAGGCUGGACUGGAACAGUAAACAUAGAAGAUGAUCUUCUUUGAUGAGAGGAAGGGAUUUUCGGAAUCCCUUGAUAUGGUCGGUUGGAUCUCCGACUCCUGCAUAUUGAUCGAACUUGGGGGCAUUGAGCUUGUUCGGCAAAUCAUGUUCAAGGAUCUCCUUGGAGAAAGGAGACUCCUGGAACUGCUGGAGGGACUGUACAGCAAGUUGCUCCGCAGUGUGGCUUUUGGAGUGAUGGAGGAUAGCCUGAGAGGCUUUAAACUCUGCUAACUGUUGGCUGAGUUGCUCGCAUUUCUGGUUGGAGUCAUCAACAGGAAUGACUCCACGACCACCAUUUUCUACUUGUGCGGGGCUGUCGGUUUGUGCAGCUUUCAAACGUGCAUUCUCUUCCUGCAGACGAGUGAUUUGUUCAUGCAGAUCCUGGAUGGUUAACUCUGGGGUAGUCAUUUGAGUGAUUUUGAUUUGGGUGGGAGGGUUUGGGUUUUUCGAUUAUAUCGAAUUCCUUGCAGUCGGCGCCAAAUGUAUUAACCUAUUUCUAGAUUAAUGCACUACUAGAUCAGGUCGUUGGGAGACUUGACCAAAGGGGAGGUUUUAGAUCGGGGUGGCUGCACCUCGUUGAGAUCGAGAUUGCCUACGUACUCUUAGCUCGAGGGAAUUGAACUUAGAGAUCAAGCCAUCGUAGUUUUGUUCUUAUAGAAGGUAGAAAGGCGUGGAUCGUGGAUCUUGCAGAUUCUUCGCCGUCAUAAUGAGGAUUGAUUGUGUAACGCGCGAGGAUCAUCCUUGUGAAUUAAUUAUGUAACUGACGAGGAUAUUCUGUGCAUUGAAUGAGAGCACGUGUGUAUAAGCAGGUCGCUGCUGGUUGCGUGGUCGGGUCGUUGCUGUCGAGCUACUAGCAGGUAGGGAUCAUGGCGACCUGAUGGUUGAAUGACUGUGCCACGUGGCUGCUUUUGAUUGGAUGGAGUAUGUAGUACCCCUACAACUUCCACACCACAUCUACCACCAUUACUUCUAAUUCCACCACCAAAAUAAUCUACUUAUUCAAUAAAAGACAACCUAGUGCUUGAAAACCACCAUUAUGACCAGAACAAGAAUGAAGAAGAAGAAGAUGAAGAAACAACAACAGUAGUAGUAGAAGUCGAGUUGUUCAACACAUUUCUUGAUUAACAUAUGAAGUAAUCAAACAGAGUUUUUUCUCCAAUUCAGAUCUAAAUGAUUUCCCCCCAAUUCUUUAUGGAUUGAUGAGAAUGAUUGAAGAAGAUAGAGAUUGUGACAUUGUAUUAAGCAAUUUUGAUUUUGAUUCAAACUAAUUUAAUGGGUGUGGUUUAGAUUCAAAUUCAAAGAAAUUUGAUAGUAGUGGUGGUGGUGGUGGUGUAGAUGUAGAUGUAGUGGUGGUGGUUGUGGGUUAGAUGUAGUGGUGGUGGUGGUGGUGGGGUAGAUGCAGACGUAGUGGUGGUGGUUGUGGGGUAGAUGCAGACGUAGUGGUGGUGGUUGUGGGGUAAAUGUAGUGGUGGUGGUGGUGGGGUUAAGAUUUGUUGGGUGUAGAUACAUUUUUGUUAUGUUAAGGGUUUGGUUAACAAGGCAUAUGGGAAGGGUAAUUUUAUCUAAAGAUGAUGAAGAUCAAUCAAACAUUAGUCAAUGGCUCAGUUGACCGGCUCCAGAUGAGUUUUUAGGGGGUAUCUCUAAUGAAAGCUUUUUUGGGGGGCAAUCGCAAAGAGUCCUAACUAUUUCGGGGGUAUCUCAAAUUUGCUCUAUCUUUUUCUAUUUCAUGUUCUAGUUGAUUUUUUUUUUAGUAAAACCUAUUUCUAUAUUAUUAUUCAAUUACCAGGUCUAAUUUGAUAAAAUAAAAAAUUCCUCUCUUCUGCAAUUUUGUGAAAUUUCAGUUAUUAAUUUUUUUCCUCCACUAGCACAUACAAGGGCAAUUUAGGUAUUAAUAUACAAUGGAUGGUUUGACCGUAGUCACCUCAAAUGACGAAAAUUAGACUAUUUGCUAAUAAACGAAAAACUCUAUACCACUUGCUAAAUAUGCAUCUUCUAGAGGGACCAAAUAUAAAAUAACCCUUCGUACAACAAUACUCUCAGUUCCAAGUCUCGAUAUUUCCUCUUUAUCUCCCCUAGGGGCGAUCUUCAAUCUUUUGGCAGGAUUUUUUAGAGAUUAAUGUCAUAUUAAACUUUGUAUAACCUCCUUAUCUGCUUCUAUCAAUUCUACUUUUAGCGUAGCCACCUCAUCCCUCAUACAUUGAAUAACGUUAUCUCUAUCUCCCUUAGCCACCUUAUAUUCUUCUUACUAUACAAAGAAAAGCUGGUGUUAUUACUUGGCAUCAGAAGCUUAAGUUUGCUUCAUCGACAUCCUCUUCUGUGAAACAAUCACCUUUAACUUUUUGCAGGCUACAAAUUUUUACUUGAUCAUCAAUUCAUGCCACUUGGUGUUAACUGCUACGGUAGCCUCACGGUAUCAUGAAUUCUUAAUUAACUUUUAUUUCAAAUUGGGUGUGUAUGUGUUUAGAGACGGGGAGUUUUAACUUUCAAUUUAAAAUAUAGUUUUGUGUCUAUAUGCGAUCAAAUCAAAUCACGAUGUUAUAUUGAAGUGAAUUAUUAUAAAACUCAAAUAGCUAAGGUGAUAAAAAAAAAUUAACAUCAAUCAAGUAGUAAAGCAAACAUUUUGUUCUUGUUUCCAAAUAACAAUAUACACAUCUUCUUUAUGGGUACAAAUUACUGUGGACGACUAAUAAUCUACAUGGGUACAUAUUACUCCCUCCGUCCCAAAUUAUAAGUACCUUUUGGAAUAUUCUACUUAUUAAAGAAACAUCAUUUAUUGUUUGUUUACUAACUCUACUUCCUAAUUUACCCCUAUUUAAUACUAAUUAGAAUGCCUAACUUUUUAUUAGAAUAAUUACUCUAAUCUCAAAGCAAGGGUAGUAUAGACAAAUGAACCAUUUAACUUAAUUAAUAUGUGCUCAAAAAUCAAAAGCGACAUAUAUUUUGGGACAAUCUAAAAUGGAAUAAGGUACUUAUAAUUUGGGACAGAGGGAGUAAAUAACAAUACAUGGAUGAAAACUGGAGAUAGAUCUCACAUGUACUUGCUAAGAUAUUUUUGCAAUUUCUCUUUUAACUCCAUGCAUUAGUGCACGCUCUAACAGAGUUAUUCCAACUGAUUGUGAAUCUUAUCCAGUAAGUAGUGAGUCCUGGUGGAAAAAGCCUAUGCUACUCACUGGUCGAGUUACUGAAGAUAAUAUGUUGUUGAUGUAUGUUACUAGGAAUUUAUUUGAUGACUGUAAGCUUCUGGUUGUUGGGUAUAGGUCGUUUGUAGUGGAUUAUUUUGUUAUUUGGUUGCUGACAUUGUUUGUUUCUUUUGCAACAAUAAAAGAAACCUUCCUGGUAAAGCAUAGUGACCUUGACGCUGUCUUGAACGUGUUUGGUUCCUGGUCGAACGAAAGAAAACUUAAGCUAUUUCCUCACCUGAAGGAUUACUUCACUCCCAAGGGUGGUCCUAAAACCGUUGCAGACGAGUUGGAGAGGAUGAAAGCUUUGAGAAAGAACUUUUUGGAUGCGAUGAAGAAGACAAGUCCUAGUGAGAAGGCCCGAGCUCCUGGUAGCUCGAAGCUUAAUGAUUCUUUUGCGAACCCGCAGAUCGUUACACCACCGACCUCUUUUCCAAAGUUGCCUGCUAGAUUAAGUAGGAAGAGGUCGUCGUCUGGUACUUUGAAAUUGAUGGAACAACUUCCAGUUAUCCCUUCUUCUGUUCAUUUUAAACCUAUGAAGGUUUCUGAACCUACUCCCUUGUCUCGAAAGUGUGUUGUUCGUUACUCUGGUAAGGGUAAGGGUGUUUCAUCUGAAUUUCGACCUGGUUUUUUUGAGUACUUAGAUGGACAGGGCGGUAAGCACGUGAUGUUUGAUAAUGAGAGUGCAAUAGAUGACCCCUGUGUUGCCUGAGCUAUUAACGAAAACAUUGUUCUGGAUGCUGAUGCUCGAAUGGUUAAGUCUUAAAGUCUUCUUGUGACCUGCUCAAAAAUCAACUCUACUCUUUCUCCGGUGAGUAAAUGUUACUUAUGGUAGUUCGUCUGGUCGAAUAUUUUGCUUGAUGUGUAACUUUUAGUUCUUUGUAGCUUAAUGCUACCUUCCAGGAAGUUCGUCUGGUCGCCUAGGUUUGUGUUGUUGUAUAUUGGCUUGCAACAGUUGGGGUGCACAGGAUCAUACAUAAUAAGAGGUGUGAUCCAUAGGAUCAGUUCCUAUAUUGGUUAAGGAAACCAUAUAUGACGGUAUAGAUAACUUUACACUAUGGCAAAGGAAGAUGAGAAACGUUUUGAUCCAAUAAGAUCUUCAUGUGGUUCUUGACGGGAAAAUAAGAAGCCAAAGGACAUGUCAGAUGACGAGUGGAACAAAGCAGAACUCAAAGUCAUGAGUUCCAUCGAACUACAUAUCUCAGACGAGGUGAUGUUUAAUGUGAUGGAGGAAACUUUUGCCAAAGGAACAUGGGAAAAGCUUGAGAAGUUGUAUAUGGGUAAGUCUUAUCCAAUAAACUUUUCUUAAAAAAUGAACUCUUGAAUCUUCGGAUGGAAGAAGGUGGUGAUCUUAUGGAACAUCUAAACGUGUUCAAUAAGUGCAUCACAAAUUUGCUACGGGUGGAUGUGAAGUAUGACGAUGAAGAUAAGUCUCUGUUCUUGCUCAGAUCUUUGCCUCCAUCUUUCAAGCACUUCAGGACCACAUUGAUGUUCGACAAGGAUACUUUAAAGUAUGAUGAAGUUGUUCAAGAUAUAAUCUCUCAUGUGAAGAUGAAUAAGAACACAAGUGAAGACUCUCAAGCAGAAGGACUAUAUGUCAAGAAUUCUAAUGAGAGGGUCCGAACAAAUAAAAGAAGUAGCAAAUCAAAAGGCAGGGGCAGAUCUAAAUCCAGGGAUAAAGAAGGUUGCUUUGAAUCUGGUGCGACAGACCACUGGAAACGAGAUGUAAGACAUAUAAGGAAAGAAGAAGAAAACCAAAAAUUCAAAUUCAGCCAGCGUUGUUACAGAUGAUAGCGACGAAAAAAUUUUAGUGACUUCUUCAGGUAAUGAUAUUUCUUCGCCUUGGAUUUUAGAUUGUGGCGCUUCUUAUCAUAUGUGUUCAAACGAAGGCUGGUUUGACACGUUUGAGGGGGAAAAAAAAGCGACGUAGCUUUUAUGGGGAAUAAUUCCAGUUGUAAAGUUUGUGGAAUCGGUACGGUAAAGUUGAAGAUGCAUGAUCAAAUUGUUAGGACUCUGGGCAACGUGAAAUACGUUCCUGCACUAAGGAAGAAUCUUAUUUCCCUGGGUUAUUUGAAUAAAAAUAGGUACACAUACAAAUCCAAAUAUGGGAAUCUCAUAGUCUCAAAGGGUUCACUUGUGGUUAUGAGAGGAGUAAGACUUUCUAACAAUUUGUACAAGCUUUUGGGAAAUACAGUAAUUGGUGGAGCUGCAGUUUCUACACAAGAAGAUCGCAUUCAGCUUUGGCACUUGGGGCUAGGGCAUAUGAGUGAAAGAGCCAUGGAAGAACUACAGAAGCGACAAUUGUUGAAUGGUGUAGGUGAGUGUAAACUUGAGUUCUGCAAGUAUUGUAUUAUGGGAAAACAAACUAAAGUACUCUUCAAAGUUGCAGAUACAAAGAACAGAAGUACAGAAGUACUUAACUAUAUUCACUCAGAUGUGUGGGGGCCUUCACCUACUCAAUCAAAAGGUGGAGCUCGUUAUUUUCUCACAUUCAUGGAUGAUUUUUCGUGAAAAGUUUUGGUUUACUUCAUGAAGGAGAAAUCCAAAGUUUUCACUAAAUUCAAGGAGUGGAAGGCAGAGGUAAAGAAUCAUACAUGCAGAAAAAUCAAGUAUCUAAGAAUUGACAAUGGCGGUGAAUAUAAGGAUAGGAAGUUUCUACAGUAUUUCAAAGAUGAAGGUAUUGCAAGGCAUUUUACCGUGAAGAAGAAUCCCCAACAGAAUGGAGCUGCAGAAAGGAUGAAUAGAACUCUUAUGAAUAAAGAGAGGUGGAUGAGGUUUCAUGCAGGUCUGCUAGAGAUUUUUCUGAUUCUCAAAGAAUGAAGGGCAAAGGGAUUGAUUGAGGAAGAUCUCUUGUUCUUAUUAGAUUAGAAGAUUCAGAUCGUGAUUGGGCAGAGUCCCUUAACCAUGCUUGUCACUUGGUUAAUCGUUCACCAUGCAAUUUGCUUGAUUUUAGAUGUGCAAAAGAGGUAUGGUAAGGUAAACCGGUAGACUACUCUAUUUUGAAGGUAUUUGGAUAUAGUGCAUAUGCUCUUAUUCCCAGUGAUGAGAGAACCAAACUUAAACCCAAAUCUCAUGAAUGUCGUUUCAUCAACUUCGAGAAGGGAGUGAAGGGUUAUUAGUUAUGGGAUCCAGUGAACCGAAAGAAAAUCCUUAGUAGAGAUAUUGUGUUUGAUGAAAAGACUAUGCCUAUGAAUCAAGACAUGAAGAAUGUUCAUAAGAAAACAACUACAGAUAUAUCUCCUCUUACUAAGGUAUCCAAUAGGGAGACUCUUAUUCAGGUGGAAGGAUCAGAUGCAGGGGUUGAAGAGGAUGGGCCAGAACAACAACAGUGUGAAAAGAAGGUUGAAUCUAAUAAAGAUAAACAACAACAUUAAAGCAUAGCAAAGAACAGGGGCCAAAGACAAGUCAAAGCACCUAUUAGAACCCAUCGAGGAAGAAGUUCAUUGUGCUUUAAGCAUUAGUGAAGGUGAUCCUACUUCUUAUCGUGAAACAGUUGAAAGUAACGAAAGAGAAGAGUGGAUUGAAGCUAUGGCUGAAGAGAUGAAAUCUCUAUACAAGAACUCCUUUUGGGAGUUAAUUUCUAAACCCACAGAAAGAAAAAUUGUUGGCUGCAUGUAAGUGGGUUUACAAGAAGAAAGAAGGAAUGCAUGAGAAAGAACUGAUCGGACCUCAAAAGUGUAUAUUUAUCCCCCAAAUAACAUUUUUUUUGUCUAGCACUUAGCUUAUAUUAUUGUAUUAUAUCUAUUGAUUAGUGCUUUCUUGUCUUUUGUGUAGGUUUUAUGAGCCGAAAUGCGAAUAUUAUGUAAAAGCCCGUGAAAAGUCGAGAAAAGCAAGCAAAAAGGUGUGAUUGGCACAAGGGAAGAAGAAUGGAUAUUUGCACCCACAAAAAGGUCAACCGUUGACUUUUGUUGACUUCGGUCAACCGGUGACUUCUGCUGACUUCUGUCAACUGUUGGACUCUGCUGACUUUCGUCAACUAUUCACUUUCGUUGACCUGUCUUUCUAUUUUGGGUCUUAAUCUUAAAAGGCUCCACAAGAAGAUCCAGAAGUCCGAUUUGGGCCCAUGAGGUAUCAAAUUGAAGGUCUUGGCCCAAGCUACAUGUCAAGCCCAAGAGAAUUAGGUUUUGCUGAUUGCCUAAUCACUCUAGGAGACCAACAGCAGCAGCCACGAAUUUCACCAAGUUUGGAAGUCUUUGCAUGCAAAUAUUCUACUUUGUAAUGUUUAUAUAAGAGAAGUUGUAACUAGGGUUUAUUAUCUUUUAGCCUCCACUUUAAGAUCAAAUUUCAUUGAAGAAGAGUUGAUCUUCUUCUUCAUUGUACUCAAUUCAUUAUUCAAUAUCAAUCCAUUAAAUUUCAUUAUGAUGUUUUAUGAUUUAUUUAUUUAUUCCUUUGGUAUGAGUAGCUAAAUCUUCAUGGGGGGAUGGUGGAAGCUUUCUAGGUGAUGUAAAAGUAUCAUGUUUCUUCUUCUUGUUCAUUGUGAUUCAAAGUUCUUAAUGCUUAUUUACUUCUAAUUCGCGAUAUAAGGUAAGUAUGAUUAUUUACAUGCUAUUGUUAUCCAUGGUGUUAAAAUAUUAUUGUUAGGGUUUAGGGAGAUCUAGCUUUAAUGGUAGUAUUUAUAUUUAUUGUAGAUAUGUAGUGAAAUAGCUGAGAGGUGAUUAUUACAUGUUUAUGAUAUUUAUCUUUUAUUGGAACCCUUUUGUGAUUAAAUCAAAUAGCUGAGAGGUGAUGAUUUAAUUAUGAAUAAUAUGUUGAGUUAAUUGGAUUCAAUAGCUGAGAGGUGAGGGUGUAAUUAAUGAAACAUAUUCAAUAACAUGCAUAAUAGAAUCCCGUUUUAAUUAGGUGGAAUAGCUGAGAGGUGACUACUUGAUUAUUAUAGGUAUUAAUAACUAGUUGGAAAAACUGAGAGGUGACUUAUUGGUUAUUAUAGAUUGAACAUGAAGAACAACAUGAUAUGAUUGCAUGAUUUAGAUUGUGGAUACCAACUACCCCCCCUAUGUCAUCAUAUAUCUUCUUUUCCAUAUCUUCCAUAUUCUUAAGUUAGGAUUUAUUAUUUAUUAUUGCCCGUAGGAAGUAGAAUCAAUCAUUCAUCUUAUUUAUUGAUUCUCUUGGUGUUUCUUAAUUAUUAUUCUUAAUUGUGUUUGAGCUAAGAUCUCCCCCUCUGAGGUGGGUACGACCCUUGCUUGUUACUUGUCUACUUUGAUCUUCAAUUUAUACCAAUAAGGAACUUCAAGUAAAAAUCUAAUCUUUUGAUAGUAGGAUCGUUUUCUUACACAUCAAGAACCACCAAAGUUCAAAGGAUGUUUGGUGGCGAAGGUGUACUCGCAGAAGGAAGGAGUGUAUUAUGAUGAAAUUUUCUCUCCAGUAGUGAAACAUACUUCUAUUAGAGUGUUACUAUCACUGGUUGCUCAGCAGGAUAUGGAGCUUGAACAGUUAGAUGUCAAAACUACUUUUCUCCAGGGUGAAUUAGAGGAAGUCAUCUACAUGGAUUAACCUCAGGAUUUUGUUGAAGCUGGUAAGGACAAUCUGGUUUGUAGGUUGAAGAAGUCUUUUUACGGGCUCAAACAAUCUUCAAGGCAAUGGUACAAACACUUCGAUUCUUAUAUGCUGAACAUUGGGUAUAGAAGAUGUCACUAUGAUUGUUGUGUGUACACUCAUUUGUUCGAUGAUGGGAUGGUGAUCCUAUUGCUACUUUAUGUAGAUGACAUGUUUAUUGCUUAUCGGGAUAUGUCUAGAAUUAAGGAUCUAAAGACGUUAUAAAGCAAGGAAUUCGACAUGAAGGAUCUUGGUUCAGCACAAAAUAUCCUAGGUAUGGAGAUAAGGAGAGACACGAAAGCGGAAAAGUUAUGGCUGUCACAAGUCAAGUACAUUCAAAAGGUACUUGAACGCUUCAAUAUGAUUGAUGCAGAUCAUGUGUCACCUCCUUUGAACAACAGUUUUGUUUUCAAUAAAAGUCAAUGUCCUUCCACAGAUGCUGAAGUAGAAGAGAUGAAGAAGAACCUGUAUACAAGCGCAGUAGGGUGUCUCAUGUACUCAAUGGUUUGCAUAAGACCUGAUUUAGCUCAAGCACUAAGUGCAGUAUCGAGAUACAUGGCGAAUCUGGGAAAGCCACACUGGAAAGUUGUGACAUGGAUUCUCAAGUAUUUGAAGGGCACUAAAACGUUGGGUAUCUUGUUUGAAAGACAGCAAGGGAAAACAUGUGUUUCGGAUUAUGUGGAUGCUGAUUAUGCAGAAGAUUUAGAUAAGCGAAGAUUCACCACAAGGUACAUCUUCACUUAUGGUGGAUGACUGGUUAGUUGGAGAUCAAUGCUUCAAAUGGUUACUGCUUUAUCUACUACUGAGGCGAAGUAUAUGGCAGUAACAGAAGCUUGCAAGGAAGCUAUUUGGCUGAAGUAGUAAGCACAUUCGGGUUAGAUCAAAGUUCUAGGAUGAUAAGAUGUGACAAUCAGAGUGCUAUUUGCCUUAAGAAGAUUAAAUGUUUCAUGCAACAAUGAAACAUAUUGAUAUUCGCUAUCAUCGGAUUCGGGAUUUGUUGGACUCGGGUAAAAUUACAGUUGAGAAGGUUCACACGAUAAGAAUGCUUCAGAUUGUCUUACUAAGGCGGUUUCAGUUGAGAAGUUCAGACAUUGUUUGAACUUCCUCAAUCUUUCUGCAUGCUAAAGAAUGCGUGAAACAUCACCUCCUCACUUGAGGUGCGUUUAGGCAAGAUGAUUAUUGCCAAUGUGAUGGUGCUUGAAGAAAUUCAAGCUGCAAUGAUCUUGUUUUUUGGUCGAUGACUCGCCAAGGUGGAGAUUGUUGUAUAUUGGCUCGCAACAGUUGGGUGCACUGGAUUAUACCUUAUAAGAGGUGUGAUCCAUAGGAUCAGUUCCUAUAUUGGUUAAGGAAACCAUAUAUGUGCAGGAGUUCUUAUUGGACUCGGUCUCCUACACUACACCAAAAGUGGAUAUUAGUAACGUUUAUACAUGUUACUGUAUUUUUCCUAACGCACAUAAAACGUGACUAUUUGGGCGUUCCAAAUAUUUUGUAACGUUUAUAAGCGUGAGCAAUGGGUUUGUUAGUAACGCUUAUAAUCGUUAGUAAUCAGAGAACUUAGUAACGUUUAUAAACGUUAGGCAUCGAUCUUAAAGUAACAUCUAUAUAUGUUACUAAUGUCAUUGCAAUGGUUGUUUCUAAUCGGAGACUUACGUUAAAUAAACUCGAUUGCAACGGUUAUAAGUGUUACAAAUCAUUGACAAAUUAAAUAAAAAAAUUAUUUUUCUGUAAAGCCGAACAAUCUGUAUUCAUUACUAAAAAAAAAAAAAUACUCUGCUGUAUAUCCAUUGCACAUAACUAUAUAUUCAUUCCAACCACAAAUCAAAGCGUCUGACAUUCAUCACAUUAACUCAAGUAUAUAUUAGAUAUAAUUGUUACAACUUUACGACAUUCAUCCCAUUAACUCAACUAAAAGGUUGUAAAACAAAACUUACACUCCUGAUCAACAUGCAGGCAACUGCACCGUCAGGUUAGAACUCGAAGAACAUUUCCUCUUAAUACAAUAGUUAUCCCACCCCCAUGUUGGAUUCUUUGGACGGAGGGAACUUUUUUGUUCAGGAACGUACGUACGCAGUUAGGACGUUCGUACGUUCCAUUCGACAGAUGAUUUUAGGGGGAAAGAACGUACGUACGUAGUUAGGGCGUACGUACGUCCUGGAUCACAGAUGACUUCCCCGUGUAGCUCAACGUACGAACGUCAAUUCAACGUACGUACGUCCUCUCUUGGUUUUGUGUAUAUGGGCCUGUUUAAGCCCAUUUCAUGUGUGUUUGUAUGGCUAUGUUAUAAAGCCAAUUGAGAAGGUUGGAAAACCUAAUCUUCAUGUGAGAGAGAGAUUGUGAGAAGCCAUUGGUGAGUUUGAGAGAACUCUUGUGAGGAAGAACACUUUGGUUUCUUCGUGAAGGCUUGUAUAAUCGUCUCUAUUUGGAAGAUUGUUGUUUUGGUCGUGGACGUAGGCAAUAUUAGCCGAACCACGUAAAUCUUGUGUUUUGUGUUUGUUUUGUUUUUUUGCCUUGUUUGAUUCACACACUAUUUCAAUUUUGGAUAUUCGUGCAUAAGUUUCCGCUGCGCACAACAAGUGGCAUCAGAGCUGCAGGCUAGAUCUUGAGAGCCUUGAAGGUAUUUGAAGAAAUUUCUGCAGGUGAGUUUCUUAUUUGUGGUUUAAGGCAAAAGUUCUAUCUUGUAUCCGUGGGUUGUCAAGAAGGUGUUUGUUGAAAUUCCAGUGUGAAUUUCAGAUUUGUUUACCUUCGAUUGGUGAUUGUUUAGUGUGUGAAAGUGAUUAGUGAUGUCAGACCCAUCUUCGAGUAAGAAUGGAAGAGUGUCAUCUUUGAAGUUUGACAUCGAGAAAUUCAAUGGUAGAAACAACUUCGGCAUGUGGCAGUGCGAAGUUCUGGAUUUGCUUGCUCAGCAAGGUUUGGAAGAUGCUUUGGGUGAAAAACCCGAAAAGAUGAAAGAAGAUGAUUGGUUGAAGUUGAAUAGGCAAGUUUGUGGCGUGAUUCGCCUUUGUUUGGAAAAGGACCAGAAAUACUCGGUGAUGAAAGAAAAGUCUGCUAAGGAGUUGUGGAAGAAACUGGCUGAUAUGUAUAUGAAGAAAAGUUUAGAAACCAAGUUGUUUCUGAAGAAGAGGAUCUUCCGCAUCGAUAUGAGACCUGGUAUUUCUUUGUCUGAACAUCUGGAUAAAUUCAAUAGGCUUAUUGCUGACCUAUUGAAUUUGGAUGAGGUUGUCAGUGAUAAUGACAAGUCUCUAUGUCUUUUGAACUCUCUCCCCGAUGAAUAUGACCAUUUGUCCACCACUUUGUUGACGGGGAAAGAAUCUGUUAAGUAUGCUGAUGUAGCAACGACGUUACUGAACUAUGAAUGCAGGCGCAAGGACAAAGAAGUCCAUAGGGGUUCAGGUUCAACGUCCGAGGCUUUGAUGGUAAGGGGACGAUCCAAUGAUCGUACUACUGGUAGCGGAUGAGAUCUCGAUCAAGUCUAGAGGUAACCUCUAGCAAAGGAUGAGUGUGCCUUUUGUCAUGGAAAAAGGCCAUUGGAAGGUUGAUUGUCCCGAGUUGUCAAAGAAGGAAGAUUCUGUGUCUUCCAAAGAUAAUAAGGUAAAUGUUGCACAUGCUGAUGAUAGUGAUGAUGAUUCAAAUUAUUCUUUGGCUGUUAUGGUUGAUUGCUCCACUCAAGGUUGGAUUAUGGAUUCUGCAUGUUUUCACUAUUUGUGUCACAGUAGAGAUUUGUUUGCUAGUUUUUAAAAGCUAGACUGUGAUGAUGUUGUGUUAGGUGAUGGUCGUCACAUGAAAACACUUGGUGUGGGGACUAUCAAGUUGAAGUUGGAGAAUGGUACAGUUAAAGAAUUAGUUGGUGUCCGGUAUGUUCCGGAGUUGAAGGUGAAUCUCAUCUCUCUUGGAACUUUAGAGUCUGAUGGUAUGAAGAUUGUUCUGCAAAAUGGGGCUUUAAAGGUUGUUUCUGGUGCUUUAGUUGUUAUGAGAGGGACAAGGCAACGAAAUUUGUACUAUCUUAACGGUAGUGUUGUUGGUUGUGGUGGAGAUUCUUCUUCACAUUUGGUGGAUUGUUUGACUCCUCCCAGUUUGUCAGAUUGUUUGGUUGAUUGUGGCUUUGGUAGGCGUACCGGCAAGCAUGGCUUGUUGAAUGGUGGUAAGGUACGUAAAGUUUGUUUUGGGCAUCCUUGUUUGAAUGAUAGUUUGAAGUUGGAAGAGAUAUCUUAGCAGGUGGAGAUUGAUGCCGCUCCUUAUGAAAGUUUGUCUGGUAACACAGCUGAUGUUAGUUUGCUAGCCACAGAUGUUUGUUUGAAGGCUCAAGCCCAUGAGCCAAUUGGAGUUGUGAAGCCGUUGUUUGGAGACCUUUGUAGGUUUCGGGGUGUUGAUUCAUACUCAUCUUCAGUCGGUUAUGGUCAUAAAGUGGAAAUAGGAUUUGGUAGUUUGGACCCCAUUGUUUUGGAUUAUGGUUGUUGGCCCUCUACGGGCAUUGGUGGGCAUUUGUUUUGAUUUGGCCCCUUGUGGGAAUUUGACCCUUCGGGGUAUGGUGGGCAUCGCAUAGAUGCCAUUGGAGUGAACUACGGUGGUUUGAUCCCUUAGAAGAAGGGUACGUAGGCAACCAUGAGGUGGUGCAACCGCUUUGGUCCUUCGGGACAAGUAUGGAAGUUUGGGACUUGGUGUCGGCUUAGGUUUAUUGAAUCUUCGCCGAGGUGGAGAAUUGUUGGAUUUUUUGGACGGAGGGAACUUUUUUGUUCAGGAACGUACGUACGCAGUUAGGACGUUCGUACGUUCCAUUCGACAGAUGAUUUUAGGGGGAAAGAACGUACGUACGUAGUUAGGGCGUACGUACGUCCUGGAUCACAGAUGACUUCCACGUGUAGCUCGACGUACGAACGUCAAUUCAACGUACGUACGUCCUCUCUUGGUUUUGUGUAUAUGGGCCUGUUUAAGCCCAUUUCGUGUGUGUUUGUAUGACUAUGUUAUAAAGCCAAUUGAGAAGGUUGGAAAACCUAAUCUUCAUGUGAGAGAGAGAUUGUGAGAAGCCAUUGGUGAGUUUGAGAGAACUCUUGUGAGGAAGAACACUUUGGUUUCUUCGUGAGGGCUUGUAUAAUCGUCUCUAUUUGGAAGAUUGUUGUUUUGGUCGUGGACGUAGGCAAUAUUAGCCGAACCACGUAAAUCUUGUGUUUUGUGUUUGUUUUGUUUUUUUGCCUUGUUUGAUUCACACACUAUUUCAAUUUUGGAUAUUCGUGCAUAAGUUUCCGCUGCGCACAACACCCCAUACAAAGAAACAUAGUAAAAACACUUACAGUACGUAAACUCUAGUAUUCUUCUAGUCCAAAUGCUCCCUGUCAAUCUCCAGGACUGACUCUUGACAGUUCACCCUCAAUUGCAUCCUCUGUACCCAGUUUACAUUUUCCUGCAACUGCAAUAUCUUUCCAGAAUGCAUGCUUUUCCAAUAUACAUUCUGCUACAAUAUCAUGUCAAUCCAGAUGUUUUUCUGGUCUACAUUCAGCAAAAUAGAACAUGCACUGAUGAUGUGGGGGCAAUAGUUGUAGUCUGAAGAAGUUCCUCAAACUCAACUCCUUCUAGUUCGUUAAGCUCUGCUUCGAAUUCGUCCUGUGAAAUAUGUUCCACAAGAAAAACAAAUGAAACAAAUUUAAGAAACUUCAAUUUUGUAUGUCCAAUUAAUGUAAUUACUCAUAGCAACCUCAUUAACCAGAAAACCAAUCAACAUGAGUACACCUAUUAGAAAAAAGGCAGGAUAAAGACCAACUCCCACUACACAAUACAUAUGUCAAGCCUUUUUAUCAAAGCCAGGGAUGUAUGUAUAAUAGGUGUAGAUAACUGUGUCCAUGAUUUUACCAAAAAAAAAAAAAAAAACUCUAAAUGUGGUAGUGUACCAUUAAGGGAUCCAUGGGUCCCAAAUAAUGUCAGUUCUUUUUAAAGUAAACUAUGUGAAUAUGCACGCUUAUGCGUGCUGCAUAAGUGGUUAUAUUAUUGGGUAUGGGCUUGGACUUUUAUAUAUAGUCUGCUCAUAAUUAAGAUAAGAGUAAAACCGAAUUUAUCAGUAUCUAUUUGUAUAAGUAUUAUUAGGUAUGGGCCUGGGCUUUUAUACAACUUGCUUAUAAUUAACGUAAGAGUAAAAUCGGAAUUAUUAGCAUUGGGUAUGGAUUUGGACUUUUAUAUGGCCUAUUUAUAAUUAAGGUAGGGGUAAAACCGAAAUUAUCAGUCUUGGGUAUGGGCUUGGGCUUUUAUAUAGCCUGCUUAUAAUAAUUAAGAUAAGGGUAAAACCGUAAUUAUAAGUAUUGGAUAUGGGCCUGGGCUUUUAUACAAUCUAUUUAUAAUAAUUAUGAUAAGGGUAAAAUCGUAAUUAUAUGUAUAGAUAUGUGUGUGUAAAAUUGUAAUUAUAUGUAGAGAUAUGUGUGGGUAAAACUGUAAUUAUAGGUAGUGAUAUGUGUGGGUAAAAUUGUAAUUAUAUAUGUAGAGAUAUAUGAGGGUAAAACUAUAAUUAUAGGUAGUGAUAUGUGUGGGUAAAAUUGUAAUUAUAUAUAUAGAGAUAUAUAAGGGUAAAACUGUAAUUAUAUGUAGAGAUAUGUGUGGGUAAAACUGUAAUUAUAUAUAGAGAGAUAUGUGUGUGCUGUGUGUGACACGUAGGGCUUCGUGAACGCCUCGUCAAGGAGGCGCCUUAGAAAGUAGUAGAGAUAUAUAGACAAAAGAAAAAAAAAUUACUUAUCUUACUAAGAAUCCGCACAUAUUCUGGAAGCAGGUAGAUCCACACUUGAAAAAUCUGGACUACCACAAUUUGAAACCAAAUACCUGCACAAAUGUACCUCAAAAAUUCAAAUAGUCAAGAUGAUUUAGAUUAUGUGUAACUAAAAACAAAAUAAAAUGUAAAUACUAGAAUUUAGAUUACAUAGCCAAAAUCUUUUCAUCAUAACCUUAAGUCUUCUUAGUGGCAGCACCUAGACAACCAAAGAAUUAAGUUAAAAGAUAUGCAAAAAAAAAAAACAACCUACAGGUGUCAGAUGGCUGUAUAAGAAGCUAAACCGGGAGCAUCUGAGCGUUAGCCAGCCAGGCUUGAGCUAUUGGGUAGGGCCCAACCCGGUCUCAAGGGAUCCACAGAUGCUCUGUCGACCUUGACCCAUCGGAUAGUCCACAAUCAAUGGGUGGAGCCCCGGUUACUGUAUAAGAAGUUGAACUGUGGGCUCCCAUACAUCGACCAAGCCCACCACAGUCAAGUAGGCUAGGUCCGACUCAGUAAAGUCCAGCAGCGACAGAGGCUCAUCCAAGGGCUUAGCAUAGAAGCCCAGAGAACCUGGCUAGGGUGUAUGCAAUGAAGAUUGGGCCUCCGAUUAGAGGAGUCAAGCCCAAACCUUAGCUUCCAGACUUGGUCAAUCCAAGUCCCAACCAACUGGAUAAGUCCAGCUAGAUUCCAGGCUAACAAAACCCAUUGUUCUAGCCCGUUGAAGAAGAUAAAAAGAAGAUCUGAGUUGAACCAGAGCCUAUCAGAGGAUGCCACGUGGCAGUCAUCCUGGUCAAAGGGAAUUCAAACCAAAGGGAUAACCGCUCAGCAGCAUGCAAGCUAUCUCUACGGAAAACAUCUUCAUAGUUGAACUACUUGAGUUCAUGGAGUCAAAACCAGAGGAGUGGUUGAGCCAGCCUCCUCCGGUCUACUACAAAUACAGGAGUCCUUAACCUCCUGAACUACAAGUCUUUCACUGAGUAACUCCAUUAGAGCUUAGUCGAAGCAAAGACUUGAUUCCAAGUUCAUCUUCUUGGAUACGUAGGCAGCCUGAUCCUCAUUAGGUCAAGUCUCAUUGUACACCCACAUCUAAUCUCUGUCUAUACAAGGCUUUCAUUGAAACUGUUUGAUUAAUCAAUACACAUCUCGAGUUUGUGGAUCAAAUUUUUGCACCCACAAUAUGUCCUUGGGUGGAUCCUACACUCUUUUGGGAUCGAAGCCUGUGUCUUUUACUUGGUGUCACGAGGGCAUGGUUGUGAUUCUUAAUAACCUUUGACACACGCCAUUUUUUUUUUUUUUCGAACAACCGUGAUGGCCUUACAACCUGUCCUCGUGUCAGCUCUAUUUUUUAUCCUUUCUUCAACUGCUUUAGGUCUAGGAUCUCUCAUGCCUUCAAGGGAACAACAAAAAGUACGACCAAUUAUCUCCGAAGUAAUUCUUGAUCUAUUUGUUUUUCUCUUUCGAAUGCUAAAACCCAUGUUAGCUGCAUAACGAUUGUAAAAGUUAUAUGCUUCUUCGUGUGAAUUGAACUCCAUCCCAACAGAAAGACAUUGUACAUGUCUGUCCGUUUUAUUCAUCACAUACUCCUCAUCUGCACCAUUUUCGCACAUCGGUUUAUUUUCAUCUCUUGUGAUGUUGAUAUAAAAUUUCUCACUUUCAUCAUAUUGAAUGUGGCUGUCAUCAACCACAUUGCUUUCACAUACCAUUCUAGAGCUAGAAAAACGUCAACAGAUGUAUAAAUAAAAAUUGAAAAAAAAUAAAAAUAAAUAGAAAAUCAUAGUAUUAUAAAUGUAGUUUUCAAAAAACAUUGAACAACUAGAUUAAUUUAACCUAAUUAUUUUAAAGAUUGUCAAAUAAAAGAUAUAGAUAGACGGUAGUUUCAAUUAAUACUCAGCAAAAUAAAAAGAAAAGUAAAACAAACCUUAGAAGAAAGAUGAAGUGUUUCAACGGUUUUUCACAGAAAAAAUAACUUUUAAGGUUUUGAUAUGACUAAAGUGAAGGAGAACUGGAGAAGAUCAGAAACAGAAAUGAAGAGGAGAGAGAGAAAAAGACGGAGUCACAAGUUAACGAUUUGCUUUAUUAAUUUUUAUUUUUCUUUUCUAUUUUUAGUUGGUCCAUGUAUAUUCUCGAAAUUAGAUUAAUAGAUCUAUCCAACAAUUAUAGACUGACUUCACGUGGUAAAGUGUGAGACGUAACCUGUGCUAGUCGGACUCUUAUGUUAUUUGUAAAUAUAUUUAGUAAUUAUAUAAUAUAUACCCUCCCUGAUCUUUGUAACUCAAAAUUUUGCCCGGAUUUGGUAUUUUAAUCAGGGUAUAAAUAUCCUGAUUUAUCAGUGUAUGUUUGUUCUCUGUCAAAGAAGGAGAGUGACAGAGAAUUAUCAUGUUAUAAGAAAAUCUAUCUUCAAGAAAAUUACUUUUCUUUCUUCAAUCUAUCUUCAAGAAAAUCUAUCUUCAAGAAAAUUACUUUUCUUUCUUCAAUCUAUCUUCAAGAUAAUCUCUCUCAAGAAGACCUAGAUCUUAACUUUAUGCCUUACUUAACCUACUUAUUAUUCUCUAUAUCAUGGUUUUAUAUAGUAGCCUUACAAGAGAAUUAGGUUUUACCACAUCAUGGGCCCAAAAUAGGCCCAUAGACACUUUACCGUCCAGAGGCAAUAAAUUUAUUAGAACUGCUGUCCCAAGGCACUUUCCUUGUCAGAACUUCAGAGGCAAUUUUCAAGCAAACUACUGCGAACCAGAAGUUCUGCUAUAUACCAUUGGAAAGCUGAGAUCGUCCCCUUUCCAACCCAGCAAAAUGAUCGAUAUUACUAUCACUGAGCAGAAAGUUAUAGCUAUUCCAGUACAUAUUAUCUAACUGAAUAUACCGAAAAACUGAACAACAGAAUAUUUCCUAUUGAUUCUUUGGGAUUGUGGACCUUGUUUAAGGAAAAUAUCAAAUAUUACCUAAUAUUAUGUUAUUUGUAAAUAUAUUUAAUAAUUAUAUAAUAUAUACCCUCUCUGAUCUUUGUAACUCGAAAUUUUGCCCGGAUUUGGUAUUUUAAUCAGGGUAUAGAUAUCCUGAUUUAUCAGUGUAUGUUUGUUCUCUGUCAAAGAAGGAGAGUGACGGAGAAUUACCAUUUAUUUUGGGUGUUGAGAACAAGGCCCAAGCCCGUUGUGGAAACCAAUUAAUGUAAGAGUCUGAUUAGGAAUCAGAGUUAGAUUUCUAUUUAGAAAUCUAUUUGCUUGGCAACAACAUGUGUCCUUAAAGGACUUGAAUUAGUUUCUAAUGUGGAAUUCAAUUCCAUUAGAAACUGUGUAUAACCUUUUGGGUUAUAAAUAGGGAGUGUGGCUAUGGGUAAAACAUACACAGAGAAAGAGAUUAUAUGGGUGAGAUUCAAAUCUGUGUGGUGGAAACCGUUAUUACGGUUUUCGUGUUUAAUUGUUCUUCGUCUUCUCAAACAUCCAUAAAGCUAUUCUCACUUUGUUCCGUGGACGUUGGCAAACGCCGAACCACGUAAUUUUCUUGUGUUUUAUUAUUUGCAUUGUUUAUUAUUCUCAAUUGUCGUGUGUGUGUUAUUUUCUAUUCGAUUAUCAACAAUAUUUAUUUGAUUACGUUUCCGUGAGGCGCAACAAAUUGGUAUCAUAUGCUAGUGCAGUAGGAAGCUUAAUGUAUGCGAUGGUGUGUACGAGGCCCGACAUUUCACAGGCAGUCAGUAUGGUUAGUCGGUACAUGCAUGAUCCUGGUAAAGGGCACUGGCAAGCGGUGAAAUGGAUUCUACGGUAUAUCUUGGGUACUUUAGAUGUGGGUUUACUCUUUGAGAAGGAUGUGUGUAAGAGCCAAUUUUGUGUUGGUUAUGUGGAUUCAGAUUAUGCAGGAAAUCUGGAUAAGAGGCGUUCUACUACUGGUUAUGUGUUCACUAUUGCUGGAGGACCGGUAAGUUGGAGGUCUACUUUGCAGUCUACAGUUGCAUUGUCAACAACUGAGGCGGAGUACAUGGCUAUUACUGAAGCCAUUAAGGAAGGUAUUUAGCUUCAAGGGUUGUUUGAUGAUCUGGGUGUGAUACAAGACCAUCUUGUGGUCUUUUGUGAUAGUAUGGGUGCCAUUUUUUUGGCUAAGAAUUCCAUUCAUCAUGCACGUACGAAGCACAUUGAUGUUCGUUUUCACUUUGUGCUUGAGAUCAUUGAAGAAGAUGACAUCUUAUUAGAGAAGAUUGACACCAAAGAUAAUCCUGCUGAUAUGUUGACGAAGAUUGUGCCUGGGGUCAAAUUCCAACAUUGUUUGGACUUGACCAAAAUCCUUCAUGUGAAUUGAGGCCCUUAGGGGCGUGUGGGCAAAGAUGAGUUGAUGCUUGUGUGGAGAAGAACUACGAGAGGCUUGAUCCUUGUGCAGAGGGUACGUAGGCAACUACUUCGUGGUGCAGCUCGUGUGAGAAGAAGAAGUUCGAAUGUGUUCGUGUGUGAUCGGGGUUCGUGUGUGAAAUCUUCGCCGAGGUGGAGAAUUGUUGAGAAUAAUGCCCAAGCCCGUUGUGGAAACCAUUUCGUGUAAGAGUCUGAUUAGGAAUCAGAGUUAGAUUUCUAUUUAAAAAUCUAUUUAGUUGGCAGCAACAUGUGUCCUUAAAGGACUUGAAUUAGUUUCUAAUGUGGAAUUCAAUUCCAUUAUUUUGUGUAAUUUUAAAAAUUCUGAAAGAAAAUAGACAAAUGAGUGAGACAAUUUUGUGGUUUUGAAACUUUGAAAGUUGGAGGGUUACACCCAUAGUCCAAACUCAUAUAUCCACAUCAAAUGAGUGGAAAAAAAAAAGUAUAGAUAAGCUAGAUUAUGUGCUAUAUGCAAAGUCUUCUGCAACUGUUCUGUGAUAAAACAACCGGCCGAUUUUGUUUUGGAUCACCAAAUCCAACAAGCACUGGACAACACUGAAACAAGCUCACUUAUAUCCAUUCUUUUCCUAGCAAGUAGCAAUCACAGAUUUACAUCCUUCUAAGUUGGUAAGAAAAUUCUCUGGUUUUUCGACUUGAUAAUCUUAUUCUUCUUGUUUUCGUAAAUUCAAAUGAGAAGGUUUCUAUAUGGAUAUUACAGAUGACAAGUUAGUGAAUUCGAUUAAAGAAACAUUAAAUUCUACGCCUCCCUUCUCAUCUGAGCCAUGUAUAUAUUCUGUUCCAGACACACUCCGUUGGGUAAACGAAGAAGCCUACACACCCAAUAUCAUUUCAAUUGGACCUUUGCAUUAUGGGAAAGAAAGAUUACGGAAGAUGGAAGUCAAUAAACAAAGAUAUCUCAACGACUUUCUUAUACACAAUCCAAAUUUGAGUUUGAAAGAUUAUGUUGUAAUAGUGAGAGAUAUGGAAGAUAGAACUCGUAAUUCUUAUGCAGAGCACAUCAGUUUCACAAGCAAUGAGUUAGUCAAAAUUAUGCUACUUGAUAGUUGCUUCCUGAUUGAGUAUUUUAUCAAGUACAAGUAUCGUAAUCUAAGAAACAAAGAUGAUCCAUUAUUUCAGAUUGAUAUACUACGCAGUGACGUGAAGCGAGAUACAGUACUGAUCGAAAACCAGCUUCCCUUUUUUAUACUUGAACAUUUAUUCAAUGCAAUGAAUGUCGCAGGUCAAUUUGGUGCCGGAAACCACUCCUUCCUUUUGCUCGUCUUAAACUUUUAUGGCAAGUGUUGUCAAGAUGUGGUGUUGCAUUUCUCGACCCACCAAGUCAGGCAUUUUGUCGAUUUAUUACUCUAUUUUUACAUUCCCGCAGACGCAAGAAUGGAACCCAAGGGAAAUGAUGAAAACCGUAUAUAUAUACCAAAUGCAACUGCACUCCAUGACGCGGGCGUCAAAUUUAGGAACAACACAAAUAGUCAAGUAAAAUGCAUUUUGGAUGUCAAAUUUAGUAAUGGAAUGUUGGAAAUGCCGAUGAUAGAGGUCUGCGACACAACAGAAUCCGAAUUGAGAAAUAUGAUUGCUUUUGAGCAAUGUAUCAGUGGCGAUACUAGGUACUUAUCUGAUUAUGUGACACUAAUGGAUUGCCUCAUAGACACUCCUAAUGAUGCUGCGUUACUACGCAAAUAUGAGAUCAUCAACAAUAUGUUGGGCAACAAUGAAGCGGUAAAACAAGUAUUUAACAAACUUGGAAAAUGUAUUGCUUUAAGGAAGGAAAGUUUUUAUUUUUCUCGGCUUCUUGAAGACGUGAAUGCUUACUACAAUACCCGAUGGCAUGUCUGGAAGGCCACACUGACGAGGAACUAUUUUAAUAGUCCAUGGUCAAUCACAUCCGUUAUUGCUGCAGUUAUACUUCUCAUCUUGGCAUUCAUACAAACAGUGUGUUCAAUCGGUUCAUUGAACCGUUGAUUUUCUUGUGAUCAAGUAAAUUUGUGUAAUUUCUGAGCUGUAUGAACACCAGUUUUAUUGUGAGUUUGACAUUGUUACAUUUAUACCAUACAUGUCACCAGUUCAUUGAAGCAUUCUUCGUACCAUACAUAGGAGUGGCAGUAUGAGGAAACAGAAUUGAGUUUAAGCCUUUGCUAGAUUUUUAUUAGAUGUUUUAUAUCCUCUAGAUAGUUCUACGAUCAAUAUUAACAAACUUUAAACUCAGACUCUUAAAUGCUUAUCGGCUCUUUGAUGAACAUCUAGUCGACCUAUAGAUUGAUCGAUUGUGCAUUGCUUAGGCACGUUUAGGAGCUAGAUCUUCGACAUUUGAAACUACCAACUACUUCUUCAUUUUCAGGUCUUUGAUUGAAGCUCACUUUGUUUCCCACUCUCGUCAGGUUAUGGAUCUUGUUCAUUAUUUAACACUUGUGGAAUAUUUGAGUUUAAUAUCCUGCAAACGGGAGUUUAAUACGUCUUACAAUAUCUGCUCCUCACCUGAAGAAUUGACUGUGUUUUCUUCUUAUCAGAUAUCUCCACAAACCAUCUUGUACAAUCAAUGUAACUCUUUGGAAAGCAUAGCUUUCUUCUUUUGUUAAUGAUGAAUUUUUUACAAUCGACAGAAUGGUUAUGGGAAAUAGCAAAGAAAAGUUCAUUAGAUAUUUGAAUAGCAAUCUCAAUGGAAUUUCUUAUGCGGAGGCUCUGACACUAUCCACACGUGUUUUGCCUCCUCUUAAUUGUUUACAUACAAUAGUGUUCUUACUUCUUAUUUCUUAAGUUCAUAUGUGAGCCAUAUGUGAGCGGUUUAGACUUAACCCCCUUUUAUAGUCACGUUUUGAGUAAACCCCCUCAUUUGUCCAAGUUUGGAAUUUACCCCCUCUCCGUCUGUUUCUGUCAAAUUUAACGUCAAUUUUGUUUUUAACUUCCCAAAAUGUCCUCGAUUGCUGCUUUAGACUUAACCCCCUAAAAAUAUGAGAGAGGGGUAUUUUAGGAAGAAAAAAUAAAAAUAGAUGUUAAAUUUGACAGAAGUAGACGGAGAGGGGGUAAAGUCCAAACUUGGACAAAUGGGGGGGUUUACUCAAAACGUGAUCAUAAAAGGGGGGUUAAGUCUAAAAAUCCCUAUGUGAGCUUGAUAGAUGGAAAAAGUUCCCAAAUAUAGAUGUAUAUUUCAUUGAAUAGCAUCAACACCUGAUUUGAUUCUCAUUUUAUUUUAUUUUUAUCAAACACAUUUAUGAGAUUAUCAAAUCGGAUGAAGCGGGUACCCCUCUUAUUUCCUAAUGCAAGGUAUGUCAAGCUAACCAACUGUUGUGGCUAUGAAGGCUUCAGUAGUGCAUUAUCUCAGAGCUUUCCAAAUGUGGAAUCAACACUCAAUUUACUUGUUUUUUUUCUUGAUGUAAUACAAAAGGGAGAGAUUCUUUAUUUUGUCACCUCAAAUCAAUUGAGGUUCAAAACUUUGUAGGAUGCAGGAAUGAACUAGAAUUCCUUGGAUACAUAGUGUAAGUACCAUAUCCUGACCACCUAUCUACCGUGGAAAAAGGGCGGAGAUAAAAAGCUCAAAAUACGCCAGGAUUAUCGGAUCCACGGUCAGGACAAAGCUGACGGCCACGUGAGAGGCAUGAACGCAAUUGUUCCUCAUUGUUUGACUAACAGCCAACCAAGUGCAGAGAACGCUAGGCUCUAAGGCCAUCCACGUGUCCAACAUCUCCGGCCGUUGAUUGGAAACACAAUCCAACGGUGUCGCGUAGACCGACCAGUCACCUAUAAAUAGGGGCAAUCUCCAAUCAUUAGGUAUCCUCUCUUGUCCCAUCAAUCACUUCACACCUCUAUUUCACUCUACUGACUUGAUCGUCGGAGUGCCAACACCGGUGCCAACACUGGUGGUCUUUUCUUCUGUGCAGGUUUCCCGGCGAAGCUCAAGCAUCCUCCACGGAUUUCACGGAAGUACAGGUCCCAGGGGGAAAAGAGAACUACAUAAUUGGCACUAGAAGGAUCCUUGAACCAUCCACAAGGAUCUCCACAACAACAACAAUGGCUGCAACAACGACUCAAGGCAUACUGACUCGUGCCCAGAAGCUACAAGCAAUGCAACAACGGAUCCAAUAGCUCGAGGAAUGCAACGGACAGCUACAGACCGCGAACGAUCACUUCCAACAGCAAGAGAUCAUUCGGGCACUAGAAAACGCACGGCUCCUGGAUGUCACAAGAAAAUUGGCACUAGAGCAAGCUCUAGAGAACGCCAGAGAAAGGGAGGCAAUUCGACUCCAACAAAUUGACCGCCUGGUAGCUUUCGCAGCAAUCAACUUAGUAUCAGAAGACAAUCAGCACUCCAACGGAGUUCACAACGACAGACACCCUGCACCACCCAACGGUGCCAAUCCGGCACAACCCAACGGUGCUAAUUCAACACCACCCAACGGUACCAACCCAAUACUACCACCACCGCCGCCAUUGGAGACCCAUGAAAACCCCAGCAUUAUCAAGCACCAGCAGGAUCAGAGCAAUCCGUCACAAGAGAUCAACCUCCACGACGAAUCCGCCACGACAAGGCAGCUUCAAGACAGCUCCAGAACCCCGACCAACCCGACAAUGCGGCAAUGCUCGCAAAGAUAAGGCAACUUUAAGACAAGCUAAAUGCAAAGGAAAAAACAAUAAUUGCUGACGACCUCCAAAAGCUGGAAAAACGACCGUUGCAUGCCCAGUGCUACGAGUUCGACUUCCCCAACAAGUUUCUACCUCCAAAGUUUGACGUCUAUGACGGCAACACAAACCCCGUUGACCACCUCCGUCGCUUCAAAAAUCAACUAGCAGUUUGGGAAGGAGGCCAAUAUGAUGGUAUGAGGUGCCAUCUAUUCCCGAGAAGCCUCGGUGUAAGCGCCAUGGAUUGGUUCCAGUCUUUGAAGGCUCAAAGAAUUUACAACUUUCAUGACCUAGAGAAAGCUUUCCUCUCUCAGUACCGACACCAAAGGCGAGAAGUGGCGGACAUUUCAACACUCUUCGAUCUCCGACAAGGUGAUCAUGAGUCUUUGAAACAGUUCACAACAAGAUUUAGAACCGAAGUCCUACACACAGGUGGGGUGAACGGAAAAGCAGCAAUAGUCGCUUUCAGGAAAGGCUUGCGGCCAGACACCGUGGGCUACAACGACAUAAUCUCAGAACAACUAGAGACCCUGACGGACCUUUACAACAGAGUUGAUAAGAACAUCAAGGUGGAAGAUAACUUGGCCGGAAUGCAGCCACGAACACCGAAGCCCGCGGUGAACUUAGCUUCCGACACAAGAGGAAAUUCUGGUACUGAAAAAUCUGCCCACCCGAGGGAUGCAGAAGCAAAAGGCAAAGAUAAGCGCCCCGACGACAAAAAACCACGCCGAGAGGAUAAGAGGUCUCCAGGUCGUCACCCUCCGCCAAGACGAUCGUCGCCUCCCCGUAAGCUUCCACCUUUCAAAAUCCCUAUCUCCGAAAUCUUCUGGGCCAUAAGAGACAGGAGAUUCUUUGAGCUCCCCCCGACGAGAUGCACAAGAAUUGAUGGCAAGCCAUUCUACGAUUACCACCGUGAAUACAGUCACCCGAUCAAAGAAUGUUAUGCCUUCAUGAAAUUUAUGAACAAGCUCCACAAGCAGGGUCUCCUAAAAGAAUUCGAAGUCGAGCAAAAACCAGAAGCCCCGAGAGCUCAGCCACCUGUCCUAGGCACUGUCAACAUGAUACUUGAAGGCACUUGCCCGUCAAAAAAUGAGUCACGCAAAAAGAUCUGAACAGUUCAUUAGGUCAACAACGGCCCAAAAGCAUUAGACUCACCAAUUGCCACCCCUGUAGUGCGCAACAGAAAUAAAGUUCAACAGUCUGAACCAAUCUUCUUCUCCGACGAAGAUCUCGAGGGUGUGGUAACCUCACAUGACGACGCGUUGGUUAUUACCAUCACAAUCGGUAACUGGAACGUCAUGAAAGUCCUGGUUGACCUCGGGGGCAAUGUUGAGAUUCUAUUUACUAGAGAACUUCACCAGAUGAAACUCAACUCCACCCAUUUGUCGCCUGCCAAGGGAAAUGUGUACGGUUUCAACGGAGGAUCCAACAAACCCUUGGGAGAAAUAACCUUACCAGUAACGGCACACCCAAAGACAGUCAUGUCUAGGCUUGUAGUCGUCGAAGCAGGGUCCGAGUACAAUGCAUUGCUAGGAAGAGAUUAGAUUCAUGUCAUGAGGGCAGUACCAUCCACUUUUCACCAGAAAAUACGGUUCCCAACAGAUGAUGGUCAGUAUGAAAUCCGUAGCGAUCAGACACUGUCACAUACAGCACACUUCGCAACAGUCCGUACAUUGAUGAAGGACACCGGGGGCGAUGAGUCACCGAGCUCUUCUACUCAAUAACAGCUACAGAAAAAGGUCGACGGACAAUUAACAAUUCCUCAAAAACUGUGGAACCCACAGAGUCCGUCGACCUAUCCAACGGUGGUGAGCCACGCAUCACCAACAUCGGAACAUGUUUGAACAGUGAAAUCCGUGAGCAGUUGAUCAAAUUCCUACAACAGAACCAAGAUGUGUUCAUAUGGUCAAUCGAAGACAUGGAAGGCAUUAAUCCCGAUAUCUCUUGCCACAAACUCAACGUGCGCACCAACGCUACACCGGUAGUCCAGAAGAUACGGGCAAUAAGGCCAACCCUCCAAACAGCCGUCCUCGCUGAAGUGUACAAGAUGUCCGAAGCAGGAGUAAUCAAGAAAAUUCAGUACCCCGAGUGGGUCUCCAACAUCGUCGCAGUUAUGAAAAAAGAACGGCAAGGUUUGUGUCUGCAUAGAUUUCACAAAUCUCAACCAAGCAUGCCCCAAGGAUAUGUACGUCAUGCCCAAAGUUGACGAGUUGGUAGACCGAACUGCAGGAUUCGCCCUCUUAUCCUUCAUGGAUGGUUACUCAGGGCACAAUAAAAUUCCACUGUAUGAGCCGGACCAACCGAAAACAACAUUCUACGCCAAUCCUAGAGUUGUUACGGAAAAACAUCUCCUUCAGAUGGGACGACGAGUGUGAACAAGCCUUUCAAAUGCUGAAACACUAUUUCGCUCAACCGCUAAUCCUAUCUAAGCCAACACCAGGUGAAACUUUGUACAUAUAUCUCGCUGUGUCCGAGGUCGCCGUCAGUGCCGUUCUCACAAGGCGCGAGAGUAACGAAGAGGCACCGGUCUACUUCUUAAGCAAAAAGCUGACAGAUCCAGAAACAAGAUAUACACGAAUUGAGAAAUACGAUCUAGCCUUAUUCUUCUCAGCUCAACGGCUCCGCCCAUACUUCGAAGCCUAUAUCAUGAUCGUGGUCACAAAUCUGCCUCUAAAAUAAGCUGAGCAUCGAAUCGAAAAGGCGGGCCGUAUGGAAAAGUGGUCGAUAAUUUUGAGCAAGUACGACAUACAGUUCGAGUCUCGAAAGGCGGAAACAUCCCAAGUCUAUGCUGACUUCUUAGCUGAUUUCCCCGUCGAAGACCUUACUUGGUCUUCGGACAUCACUAUAGAUACAGAUCUCGUACAAAACGAUGAUCAAUGGACCCAAGAUGAUUGGAAAAACAUCACAGGAUGGCGCUUGUUCACUCCAGAAAAUACACGUGUGGAAUUAUCUGAAAGGUUGGGAUUUCCCGUUACGAAUAAUGAAGCCGAAUAUGAAGUUGUGCUUUCUGGUUUACAACUAGCUAAACUGCUCCAUGUAACGGAGCUCACUAUCUUCACUGAUUCAAAGUUAGUAACCGAACAGGUCAACGGAGGAUACAUGGCAUUAACAGGAAACAUGUCAGUUUAUCUCAAACUCCUUCAAGACACCUUGGCAAGUUUUCAGUCGACAAGAGUCAUUCAUUUGCAUCGCACCGAGAACCGACAUGGAAAUCCUUUGGCAUACUUGGCCGCAACAAUGGGCGACGAGGACGUUAGGACAAUAACUUUGUCCAAACGACAAGAAUCAUUCCUCCACCCAAAGAGCACAACGAUGGUAGCAGUACACCCGGGGGCGUCUUGGAUGGACCCAAUUAUCCUAUACCUACAGACAGGAUCCCUCCCUGACGACAGAGCCCAAGCUAGAAGCAUUGCCCAACAGGCCAAACGGUUCCUACUCAUCAACAAUGAGCUUUAUCGAAAAACAGUGGGUGAACCAUGCCUAAAGUGUGUCCAUCCCAACAAUGUCCCGCAUGUGAUUGCCGAAAUACACAAUGGAACCUGCGGGAACCAUUCACCAGGCAAAGCAAUGGCUCGUCGACUAAUUCUACAUGGAUAUUACUGGCCCACCAUGUUAGCGGACUGCAUGGGCUAUGAUAAAUAAUGGAGAGGAUGUCAACUACAAGGUCGCCUAGUCCAUGCACCGGCGGAAGUGUUACAUUACAUAAGCAACCCAUGGCCUUUCUCUAUGUGGGGCAUUGACAUCAUCGGCAAAUUACCCAAGUCAGGGAGAAGCAAAGUUUUCUUACUAGUUACUACGGACUACUUCACUAAAUGGAUAGAGGUCGUGCCCCUUCAACAAGUCAAAGAGCACCAAGUCAUUGAUUUCAUCUAGGAAAACAUUAUUUGUCUUUUUGGUCUGCCAAGAGCCAUUAUCACCGACAACGGACCACAGUUCCGAGGAGGACAAGUCGGGCGAUACCUGAAGAAAUAUUGCAUCAAGCAAUUUUUCUCUACCCCAAAUUACCCUCAAGGAAAUGGGCAAGUCGAAGCAUCAAACAAGGUUAUUCUGGAAGUGAUAAAAAAGAAGCUAGAAGAUAAAGGCACAAAUUGGACUGAACAACUACUGGAGGUAUUAUGGGCAUACAGAACAUCCCCACGCCGAUCCACGGGCGCAACCCCGUUCUCACUGGCAUAUGGGAUGGACGCUCUCAUACCACCAAAAAUGAUUGAACCAACAACACGAACAUGUGUGGUCGAUCUCGGCAUCAACGGCGACAUAAUCGAAAGAAAGCUUGUCCUAGCCGACGAAAUGAGGAGCCGAGCUCAGACCAAGUUGGAUCAUUAUCACCGAUAGCUACACAAGCAAUAUGGGAAGAAGGUCAAGCCCAGGGUGCUCUCAGAAGGCGACUUAGUACUUCGGCGACAGUACCCCUCUCCAGCAAAGCUCAGACCAAAUUGGGAAGGUCCCUAUAAAGUAACACGUGUCGGUAUCAACGGCGCGUACUACCUUAACAAAAUGAAUGGAACUCCAAUCGACAAACCAUGGAACAUUAUCAAUCUUAAGAAAUAUUUUGUUUAAAGUUUCGCGAGCUUUGUUACUACGCAUUUAGAAGAUGAUCAAUACAUAUCUACUUUUGAACAAAACAUUCAUAAACUUUAUUAUUUUUUACAUAAGUUUACGGGGUUAAACAUCUCUCAAACAUUUACCUCUUUACUGACUGAAGAGAAGCCUCGUUACACCUAUGCUAAAAGGGUAACAGGUCACCCUUCUGCACUUACUGUGGAAGCCCAGUGCACACACGGGGGCGUUGACUAGUGGGUAGGAGUCCUAGCCAGACGAUAGUUAAAACCUCGCACUUACCCAUGCGGUCUCGUCCCCCACAGGGGCUAGGCAACACCUGCGCCGUGGGAUGCCUCGUCCAGGGAAGAACCUAAGGGUUACAUGCUUAUUUAAAACUAAGGAAAUUAGCAGCCGUGACGACGGGGCCAAAAGUACUAGAUCACAAAUUUCAUAAAUCAAACACAACAUUCACAUAUCAGAAAUAUUGGUUAUAUUUAGUCAAAAUAACUUAAUGAUUAAAAUCCAAAACAAGUCUGCCGAUCCCCACGGACCAGGAAUUACAGACUUCAAAAUAAAUUUAGUCUGCCUGUCCUCACGGAUCAGGAAAAUUCCAGAAACAAAAUAAAGUAUUUCAGGCUCACGACCACCAAAAAGAAACAUGCAAAACAUUGUAUUUUUUUAUUUUUAUUUUUUCCUCACAAACACUCCGUAGCAAAUCACUUAGGAGACUGAGUUGGGGAAUCAAGAGAUAUAGACGGUGGAUCAAGAGACUUAGACAAAACUGGAGACAUGAGAGAGGCUGAAGCCGACAAAGGAACCAGAGGUCUCGGAGUCAUCUGCGCUUUACGUUUCUGUCUGACCUCCUCAAUCCGACGCUCUGUCUCCUUCCUAACAGCAGCAUCGAAGUCAGCUUUCAGAGAAUCAAACUUAUUCUUCCACUCUAUCUUGACUUGAUUCAAUUCCUCCUCUAGGCUAGUCUCACGGGCCUCGGUGUCAAGCAAAGUCUUGUGGAUCGCUGCAAGAGCGUCCUCUUUCUCUCGGUCCUUCUCGGCACCUAGGUUAUGCAAAGCCUCCUCCUUAUCAUCCUCCAUUUCCUUAUACAAUUUUUCAAGCUCUUUUUGCUUUAGAUCUUCAGCGGCGACAACCUGUUGCUUCAAGGACUCGCGCUCCUUUCGGCUGGCUUCAAGCAACUCAUUCUGAUUGACCAAAUCUUGAUACUUGGCAAUCUCGGCCCUGGCAGCGUCACACUCAUCCCUGGCUAAAUUACGUUCCUCCCAAAAGGACUUCACCUUUUUCAAAGCAUGAGAGUACCUACGGUUCACACCAUAGCCAAUGGUUUUUGCCUGCACAAAGCAAAAAUUCAAUACGACAAGCCAAAUAAACAUUCUAGACAUCCACAUAUACAACCACUGACAGUGUACAUGGCCGUAUCAAGGUCCUUCAUCAGAGUCAACGGAUCAGAUUUUUCCAGCAACUCAUAAUCGUAAGGAGUAAUGCCAGAAUAGUUAGCACCACCAGCAACUCCACCGUCAGCAAACCCAGAAUCAUCAACAGUAAUCCGCCGACCAUUAAGUUUACACGGUAACGGAUGCCAGAAUGGUGCCUGAACAACAUUACCGGCAAACUUCUCCUCAACAUGUUCACCCACAACGGAGUCCUUGGGAGUUUCAACGGAAACGUCAGCAACCUUUUUGCCUUUGUCAAUACGCUGACGCUUGGGACUCGAUUCCACAUGAUCCUCAGCCACAAGUUCAUCUCUGAAGGGACUGAGAGUAUUACCGAAACCAUCAUCACCAAGAAGCUGAGCAAGAUCAUCAUCAAUGUUAUCGAUGGCAACAGCACCAAAAGUGAAUUACUUGGAUCCAUCCUGUUUCUCUUUCUUUGACGGGGACGCAUAUCAGACGAAGUAUCAAUGGCAACUUCCUCCUCAGAUUCUCCGACAGAUUCCUCCGAGACAGAUAUGAGAUUCCUUUUCCUCGAGGAGGACGCUGCUUUCUUCGGCUGGCUUUUCUUCUUCAGUCGGAAAUCGCUUUCUUUAGGACCUUCUUUCGGAACAAAAACUGGCGGUUUAGACUUCCCAAUACAAACCCCGCGAAUCUCAACAGGGUGAUUUCCACUCCCGUCAGCACCAUUAACGCUCUCGAGAAACGUGUAGUUACUAGUCUUGUCACCCUUCUCCCCUUUGCCCAAGAUAAAGUCUACAACAGAGUUGGAAGUAUCCUCCAAAGGGCCGGUGUCUCCGUUUAUCAUUACAAAACAAACAAUACAUAACUCAGAAACAAGUACAAUACUUAACGCAGAUGGAAAGGGUUAAGACCUACCUCCAGUAUUGAACCAAGGAUACUCAAGCCCAAUAGACAGCUCCUCGACAUAACCCCCGAAAUUCCCGCAACAACUAACGGAAAAUCAGGCCACUCCUUAUCAAAGGUCCGUAAAGACCGAACAACAAGUCUCUUACGGGGCCUAAUGCAAAAAUGAUAGUAAUGAUCGGGAGACUUCUCAGAAUGACGCACACAAUAGUGCUUACGGAUAUCCAUCAAGGUGAUGGAGUACUUAGGAUGCUCAUUUAUCUUGUUGAAACAUCUCAUAAUCCUACAGAAAUUCCCGAUGCCUUGGCUAGGUGACAUCCUAUAAAAAUUUAGAACAACCUUGUCUAAGUCGGUCAACGGGAACCUUAAACCAGCAUGGAUUUGAUGAGCCGUCACGAUUAGUCUCGGACCCAGCCUCAGGGUCAAAAUCACAAUACCUCAAUGCCUUAACAUAGUGAGCUAAGGACACGGUGUUAGGAAUCGAAUACACCUGACGGAACACAUCAAGCUCGGGCCUCCACUCAUAAAGAUCGGGGUCAAACUGAUCCAACCAGUAUACAGAACUGCUACUAACAUCAUCAUUUUCCUUCCUUUGGGGCCUCGGGUUGGACUUUUCCUUCUUAAAAUACUUGCGCCACUUUACGAUCCCGAGUGGUUCCGGCUCCAUAUGUUUUAAGAAGUUACGGGGGCGAGAAGUCUGUGCACUGUCGUGUACACUGAGAAGUCUGACAAAGAGACAAAAACAACUAAGUUUCAGGUUCCCCUAGAAUCAAACAGCAAGGUUUUUUCUUCUUUCCAAAAACCUAAGUUAAAAACCUCUACGUUUUCAAACCCCAUUUCUUUCCAAACCCUCUUUUUGGUUGGAACAAAGGAAAGAAAACCCAGCAAUCUCCCAACAAACAGAACAAAACAAAAUUCUAGGAAAAAAGAAAAAAAAAUAAAAACUACGAAAAGAAGAGAAAGACUUACCAGAGAAGAGAGCAAACAGUGAAAGCUUCAAACGAACUUCGAACAAACUUCAGAGCUUGAAAAACAGAACGCGUUAAUGGCAGAAAGAAGAUAGAAGAAGAAAGAAGAUGAAGACAAAGAAAGAAAUGAUUUUUAUACUCUAAGACAGAAAUUCUCUCUCUCAUCAUUACCGUGCUCGUCAAACGACGCAGACGUUUCGAUUAACUAGGAAAUAUCGGCGGCAUUGUCUUUUCAGUUAUAAAGCCACGCGCCUUUUCGAGGCACACGUGGUAUACACGUGACCCCAGCUGUCCACCAACUAACAAACACGUGCAAACGGUCAAGAGACCAUCGUUGACUUUUUUCCGCCAAAAUUUCCCACCAAAAUAAGAACGAAUACGUUAUUCAAACACUACGUUCGGAGCAAACAUCAGAUAUUCUCUGUACCGACUCCCCCGGAAGCGCUGUCGCCACAGAGAAGGGGGCGAUGUAAGUACCAUAUCCUGACCACCUAUCUACCAUGGAAAAAGGACAGAGAUAAAAAGCUCAAAAUACGCCAAGGAUUACAGGAUCCACGGACAGGACAAAGCCGACGGCCACAUGAGAGGCAUGAGCGCAGCUGUUCCUCACAUUUUGACUAACAGUCAAACAAGUGCAGAGAAUGCUAGGCUCUAAGACCAUCCACGUGUCCAACAUCUCCGAUCGUUGCUUGGAAACACAAUCCAACGGUGCCGCGCAGACCGACCAAUCACCUAUAAAUAGGGGCAAUCUCCAAUCAUUAGGUAUGCUCUCUUGUUCCAUCAAUCACUUCACUCCUCUAUUUCACUCUACUGAUUUGAUCGUCGGAGUGCCAACACCGGUGGUCUUUUCUUCUGUGCAGGUUUCUCGACGAAGCUCAAGCAUCCUCCACGGAUUCCACGGAAGUACAGGUCCCAACGGGAAAAGAGAACUACACAUAGGAUCUGUCACAAUAACUUGAAUUAUUUUUGUCAAAAUGAAGACCAACUUGAAUUGCUUUUAAGUAAACAGGUUGCUGAUUUGAUGUAAUAGAAAGAUUCUGUAAGUUAAAGCACAUUAUAAAUCAUAUUUUCAUUGGGUUGUCAUCAUAUAUACAUUUGAUAUAAUUCUGUAUGAUAGGUGGUACAAGGAUACUUAUUGAACCUUUUUUUUUUUUUUUUUAAACAAAACAUAAGAGUUUAUACAUAUCUGCUGCCUUCUCCCUGAAGGCAUUUAAGACUCGAAAGGGUAAAUACAGACUCCCUUUACCACAUUUACAGACUUCCUUAACAUGAAAUGAGCCAAACUGACGACCUUCAGAAGCUAAGAUAUGAGCACAGGUAACUAGCUCUCUAGGAGCCCAGACAAAACUACAAAAAGGCAAAUUGGGAGACUACACUUUGAAUAUCUGACAAAAGACUACUGUGCUCCCAACUAACAUCAGCAUCAUAUCCACUUAAUUUAUUGACCCAACUCUGACUAUCUGAGAAGACAACCAUAUGCUGAACUUGUUCAUCCACUGCACAGUUUAGUCCUUGCUUGAUAGCUAACCCCUCUGCUUCUUCGGCUGAUGCUGCAGUAAUUCGAUUGCUUCCUGCAAAAGUUGGUAGAUGAGAAUAUCUUCCAUACACAAAACCAGAACCUGCAGUGCAGCUCACAUCAUCAUAAGCACCAUCUAUAAUGAGAAUAUGGAGAGAUGAUUUGAUCUCGCUGGGUAAAGGGGUAACGGAUGUUUCAGUAGACAUGGAAGAAGGGUCUGGUGAGAGAAUGGAAGCUUGUGCUGAACUUAAAAUUUUCUGGAAUGAUGGUUUUUUAACGACAUCUUUAAAAACAACCUCAUUUCUAUGCAUCCAGAUGAUGUAAGAAAUAGAAGCAACAUUAGAGAUACAAUUAUUGAAAUCAUUUUUUGAAGUAAACAUAGUUUUAAGAUAUUUGUAAACAUCAGAACAAUUGAAAUUGUUAUUCCAGUUUGAAAACCUAAGAGCAUCUCUAAUGGGUCUCCCAUAUUUAGCCGACACAUAGGACGAUUUAGCAUCCACGUAGGCGCCACGUAUUUUCCUAUCACUUUUUUUUACACGUCUCCUAUACCUAUAUCAGGGGUAACCCUAACGCAAAACCUUUUUUUUUUUCUAAAUUUUAUCUUCCACGCUGGUUGGACCAGCGUGAAAAUGUUUUUUCGAAUCUUUCUGUUCCACGCUGGUUGAACCAGCGUGGAAUACUUGGGCUUCGAGGGAUUGGGCUUGGGGCAGGAUCUGUAAUAUGUUCCACGCUAGUUGAAUAAGCGUGGAACUUUGAAGCUUUGUUUUUUUUUUCGAAUCAGUAAACAGAAACCACUAUCUUCUCCCUCUUUCCGCCGCCAUUCUUCUUCCUCUUCCGCCAUUUUCAACUUCUAUCUCUUGAUUUUGCUGCUUCUACUUCUUCCUACUCAAAAAUUACCCAACCAUUUCAAUAUCUUUUGUUAUUUUUUAUAUUUAGCCCCCUUUUUAUUAAUUUUAACUAAAAAAUUUAAAUUUUUUCUAAAUCACAAAUUAUGGCUCCAAAAAGAAGAUUGUGCGGUAAAAUCGUUCAAAAGGUGUAUCAAGGAACUAGUAGUACUAUGGAAGAUCAAUCUUUAGAUAAUAUGGAGGUCGAAGUUGUCGAAAUUGAUUUUCCACAUUUUCGCGAAGUUCGAGAUUAUACACCAAGAGAGCUCGCUCCAUGUAUUGGAUCGCAUCUUAGUGAUAACCAGUAUUCCGUUGAUGUAAGUAUUUGAUUUGAUUUUUAAUAUAUUUAAUUUUUAAUUAAUAUUUAAUUAUUUUUUAUUAGUUUUUAAUUGGUAAAUUGUUCGUUUAAUAUAGAGGAUGAAAAAUUUGACAUAUAGAGGCAAAAUGAAUAACGUAAUGACUUGGUGGUCAUAUAUGGUGGAGAGAGGAAAUGAUUUUGCUCAUGUACGAGACCGAAUACAAGCGACGCCAUUUGGGCCUCUCGUUUCUUUGACACCAUUUCGAACUGAUCGUCAACUUAUAUUCGCGUUGCUUGAGCGAUGGUGGCCAACGACACAUACAUUUUAUUUGCCUCUCGGUGAGCUUGCUUUUACUCCUCAUGAUUUUACUAUACUUACGGGUUUGCGUGUCGGGGUGGGAGAGAUUGUGUCAUAUAUUUCAUCUUAUGAUAAUAAUGAGUGUGAGGCUACUAUAUUAUUCCCAACUCUAAGUGAAUAUGAGGAGGCUUGGAAGGAUGAGGACAAACAAACAGGUUUACAGUAUGGUUUUUUUGAGAAUAUAUACAUGAUGCGUACUGUUGCUGAUGAUGAUUGGGUGUUAGAGCCGAAUUCAGUUGAAGAGGAUGAGUAUGUGUUAGCUUUUCUGUUAUACUUUAUGUCCGGGGUUUUGUUUUCUACUGGACACAGUUGUGUGAAGUUGGGUUGGUGUGGAGCGUUGCUUGAUACAAGCAAGAUUGGAGACUAAGAUUGGGGCGGUGCAGUGAUGGCACACAUGUAUUAUCAGAUGGAUUAUUUUUCUAUGAGUGGCAAGAAAUUACACAACAUCGGUGGGUUCAUUUGGAUUCUACAGGUUAGUUAUGGUUUUUAUAUUAUUUUUAAUUUUUAAUUAAUCUAAAGCAUAAAAGCAUGAAUGAUUUUUUUAUUUUUUUGUAUAAUUUUUGUAAUUACGAAAUUUUUAUUAUGUAGUUUUGGUGGUAUGAGUAUCUGGGCACGUGUAAUCCGAUUUUGUUAGACUGUAGACCACAAGUGUUCCCUCGUAUUCUUAUUUGGGCCCUUGAAAACCGAGCUGAAAUGAUGGGACUUGUAACGAAUAACUUUAAACAAGCAAGGGCCUCGAUCGAACAGAAAACUUGGGAUAGUAUUAGGUGGAUGCCUUGGGUUGGGUUACCAUCAAACAGUGUCCCACAUAUUGACAGCUCUAGAAUCAUAUCUCAGACGAGAGUGGUUUUAGUUUCUCCAGAGAUUAGUGUUUGGUUUUUAGGGGAUAGAUGUUUACGACAGACGACUGGUAUGAUAGCUAUUCCUCAUCCUCCACCACCUGAUAUGGCUCCAGUGAGUCUUCCUUUGGAGUAGAUCUGUGCUUGUAGAUCAUCCUUUAACUGGCCAGUUAGUUCAGCUUUUUGUAAGUUUGUUACGGCUAUGGAGUACCAGUUAUAUUGGAACACUGAUUCUCGGGGCACAUUAGCUAUUUCGCCCGUCUCUCGUGAGGGUAACGUAGAUUAUGUGUCAUGGCAAGGCAUACGACCAGAGUAUCAGAUUCCUUUCCCAGCAGACCCUACUACUACUCAGCAAGAUUACCCUUUGAGACAAAUACAGUAUAGAGAACAAGCUGGUGAACAUAGCCUCAGGUUGAUGGGAUCACAAGGUAUGACCUGGACUGUACCGGUUCCUUUUCUCGACCGUGACUUAGUUACACAGCAUGUACCUGAUUUUGAUACCUUAGACGAGGUAUGUUUAUUUUUUUUAUUUACAAUUGUAUUUAUAAUUUUAUAUUUGUUAGUUAAAUCUUGUAUAUUUAUAACGAAGGGAAUUCUUGUGAAUACAGGCUGCUCUCCGGUCACGCUUAGCAGAUGUUGUAAUGCUUGGUCAAGGGAUGCGCCAUGCAGCAUUUGAUUCUUCUGGGAGAUAUUAUGGUUGGUUGCAAGAGCAAAGGACUGCCACAACAAGGGCUGAAGAAGAACUCACAAUAAGUGCUUCUAGGGUUGCUGAGCUGACAAGCACAUUAGAGGCCUUGAUAAGUAAUUAUUAAUUACUAUUACAGUUAAACCCUAAAAUUUAUUAAUUUUAGUUAUUAAGUUUUAAUUGUAUUUAUAAUUGAUUGUAGGAGUUGCAAGGGCACACUAGACGCGGUGGACGGGGACGCGGUGGACGGGGACGCGGUGGACGGGGACGCGGUGGACGGGGACGAGGUGGACGGGGCCGAAGUGGACGAGGCCGAAGUGGGGAGAGUAGUCAGGGGAGUGCACCUUGAGUGUUUUGAGUGUUUGAUAUUGCUUGAUAUUAGGGUUGUUUUGAGUGUUUGUUAACUGUAUACUAUUGCUUGAUAUUAGGGCUGUUUCUGUUGAACCACCAUAGAAGAUAAAUUUAUGGUUAUUUCUUAAUGAUUUAUUUAUUAUCCGUUUAAAAUAGUAAUAAAAAUAUAUUAAUCAAAAUAGUAAUACAUUAAUCAAAUUAAAUUCGAAAUUCAAUACAUAAUUAAAUUAAACAUUUUAACCUUCGAUACAUUUUAACUUUCAUACUCUUCACCACAAGUUGAACAAAACAUUUUACCCAAUGCAUAAUUAAACUCAAACGAAUCAUGGUUACAAUUUUCGGGAAGCACAUGAAUUUCAUCUUCAUACUCGUCAAUAAGUCGAUUAAAUUCAUCAUCGCUACGCUUUUGUUCUUCGGGUGUUAAUGGUUUUUCUUCUUCAAUGAUUUCUUUCUCCAUUUCUUCACGUUUUUCAUCUUUCGGAUCUUCAAUGCUGAAUGAAAAGUGUUUGACAGAACCAUCUCCCAUAAUUAUAUAAAAAAAAGUGUCACAAAUGAAGAAGAUGAAGAAUGAAGAAGUAGAAAUGAAGUAGAUAUUGAAACGAAGAACAUGUAUAUAUAGAUGUGAUUUCUAGUCGUUUAGAAAUUUAGCCGUUCGGAAAAUAUGGCCGUUCGGAGAUAGCCGUUGGAAAUUUAGGGUUCCACGCUGGUUAGACCUGCGUGGAAUUAAAAAAAAAAAAAAAGGUUCCACGCCGGUUUGACCAGCGUGGAAUUAAAAAAUAAUAAAAAAAAAGUUACACGCUGGUUGAACCAGCGUGGAAGAUGUUAUUUUUGCUAUUUCCUAUAAUCCUAUCUCUGGUUCGAUUUUGGACGAAGUUUUAACAGACCGGCCCACCACAUCCUACGUGGAUAGCCGGCUGCUAAAAAUAUAGAAGACGCGUUAGACUCCGACUUUUUUAGGAAUUCCUAAAUUAUAGGUUUUAGGAGACCCAUUAGAGAUGCUCUAAGACUCAGGUGACUAGCAAACCAUACAUCAGAGAUUAAGGGGCAAGCAAAUAAAGCAUGAGCAAUAGUUUCAGGAAACAUAUUACAUCUAGGACACUUAUCAGUAGCUACUAUAUUUCUAGAACACAAUAAUUCAUUUGUAGGAAGACAAUUAUGUAUACAUUUCCAGAGAAAAAGCUUUAUUCUAUGGGGGAUAUGCAACUUCCAAAUGAAGGACCACAUAGAUUGAGACAACUGAGGAACAACAGUAGAAAUAUUACUAUGAAACCAAUUGUAAUCAGAUUUAACUGAAAACAACCCAAUUUUUUUCAGGAAGCCACACCCAACUAUCAUGUAAGAGAGAUCUUGAGAGUUUGAUAUUUUGAAUAGCUACAAUGUCUUCAGGUUGAAAAUGACUUUGGAGGAGGGAUACAUUCCUAGUAAAAGAGGUCGAGUCAAUAAGAUCAGAGACCAAGGAAGGGGCUCCCGGCGGUCGAGGACCAAAGGGUUUGUUAAAAACAAGAGUUGGGAUCCAGGGAUCAGUCCAAAUAUUGAUAGAUGAUCCUGGUCCAAUUCUGUAACAGAAAUUGAACUUAAUUUGGUUUUUUAUUUUGACAAGGUUUUUCCAAAAUUUUGAGGCACUUGAAGAGGCCUUAGCAUUUAGAAAAGAAUUACUUCGGAAAUAUUUUUGUUUUAAAAUCUGGACCCAUAAAUCAUUUGGCUGAGUUAGAAUUCGCCAACACAACUUGGAAAUCAAGGCUUUGUUUUGCAGAAAAGAUUUUUUAAUUCCUAGGCCACCAGCACUCUUCUUUUUGCAAAUAACAUCCCAGUUUCGUAAAUGAGUUUUCCUAGUACUGUCUGAACUCCACCAAAAACUUCUAUUCAAUUUGUCAAUCGAGUCGCAGUCUUGUUUUGAAAAUAACUGGGUCUGCAUGGUCUUAUAAAUCUUUAUUUAUAUACCACCUUAUUGUUCUUUUCUGCUAGAGUACUGUAUGUCCAAAGAUUUAUUUUAAGGUAAUUCUUUUACUCAUUAAAGGUCAUCAAGUGAGCAUUGAAGCUUAGCUUCUCUGUUUUAUCUGACAGAUUAAUUGCACUAAGAUCGAUAUAUAUUCUUCCAGAAGGAACCUUUUAUCCUUAAAUCCCAGAGUCCAAGAUAUACUACAGGACGACUGUUGUCUGUAGAGGUGAGUAGGAUUCUGUCAGACUGUCAGUCCACAUAUAAAAGUUUUAGAUAGUUCUGUACAGUCUACACUGGAGAUAGAGAGUACUGUGAUCGAAACACGUUCUAAACUGUUGUGGAUGACUGACCCAUGAAGGAUUACCAUUUUAAUAUAGCAGAGGGUAUAAUUCUAAAUUUAAGGUCAACUGAUUGAGUCAAGACGCUUGAAAGAAGAAAUGAAUUGACUUGGAUGGAUACCUAAAUUACACAGAAGACGUAAGACGACCAAUAGUUCUUCAUACCACUAGUCUUUGCUGAUGUUUACAUCAUCAUUGGUUACUCGCGUUUCUACUAUAUAACUACAGAGAAAACAGAGUUUGGAGACUUAACAGAGAACUCAUUUAAGGAUGAAUCUAAUUCAUUUCUUUUUUUGGAAAUAUACUGAUCUACAACAAAUGCAAUCACACUAAAUCUUUAUCACUAAAAACCUUUAAUCUAUCCAGAUGGGACUUAAUCAAUUAACAUAUAGUCCUCCUUAUCAGAAAUUUUUCGCGUCUUUCAUUCACAUGAUACUACAAUUAUCUUCAUGGUGGUGGGGAACCUCGGACACAUAAAUAUGUGGUGUGCCAUAUCCAUAUUGAUAUGGAGUCCAAACCAUUUCUUGUGCUUGUGCAGCAGGUUCAUUUUUCACUUUUGGCUUCUCCUCUUUUUUCUCAGGAAUUGGAGUAACACUAACAAGUUCAGUGAAACCAACUUUCUUUCUAAUCAAUUUUGUUAAACAGGUUGAAUCGAUUCCAUCUCCAAUAACAACAAUUUGAUUCUUGCUAUCACCUUGUAACUCUGCAGAUGUAACACCUGCACCAAAACAAUACUUGUAUUAGUUAUGAUAAACAGUAUCGAAUGUCAAGUGAAGAAAUAGAACAAUCAAAGCAAAUUAAAGUACCUGUUACACCAACAGCAAUCUUCAUAGCCUUAGUCCUAGAUUUAUCACCAUUCAUCGAAAUCUUGAUCACUAUCUUUUGCUGCAACAUUUAAACAUCAUGUUAAACAGGUACAAUUUAUAACAAACACAAGGACACAUAAUGAUAUAGUUGCCAAAAUAUAUUGUCUAGUAAACGUACUUUCAUUGUCGAAUAUUGAUCAAGACUGCACCCAAAUGAUGAAGCGAUCGAUGAGUAUAAGACUAUUCAGGUGCUACACAAGACUGCACCAAAAUAAUUUUGAGAAAUGAAAUGAGUUAUAAGAUCUCUGAUCAACAUAUUUAUAGGUCUCAUAAAGGUGGACAGAAGGUACCAAGUUGGUUCCUUUAUUAGUGCUGAAUUUUUUUAUAUUAGAAGGAAAUUAUUUGGAGUGCAGUUUAGAUACAUAUGAUGAUCUAUAAAUUCCAAUAUAGUCAAUUGAUAAAGUUGCAUUCAUAUUACUUUCUAGUAUGACUUCAAAGUUCAAACAACUUUGAACUUUUCUAUUACAUAACCAAGACCAAAUAGACCUGGAUACUUAUGGUCUUCAAUCUUCAUUCAUUACAGGUUUUUUUUUUUUUUUCUUCUUUUUUAAGUAUAUUGUGUACUCAAAAUAAUUUACACAAAAGUGGAAAACAAAUGCAGUUUAAAAAUCGAUCUAAUAGUACAUAUUCCUUUGAACUAACACAUUGCUAAUCAUCAUUUUCUGCAGAGUUAAAAUUUAUUCAAUUUUUAUUCUUUUUUUUUUUUUUUUUUAAAGUAUUAAACAUAGAAAUUAGACUUGACCAAGUAAUAUUUUGCGACUUAUCAAACUACUCAAAAUUGACAUAUUAUGUUUCUAGACCAGUCGCUGCUCUGAGUCCAAGUUGGUAGUGUCUCUGUCACCCAGUCACAACUAUAGGGUUGCUAAGCUAUUGACUUCUCUUAGUUAGCUCUAGUACAUGCAUUGUUCCUGUGCAAACAAGCUGAGCCAUUGUAUAUGCAUUUUUCUCGUCUUAAGGUGCCGAGCGCCACUCUGCCCCUCCAUCCCUGUGAUUAUUCAAAGGAGAUAAUUACUUGGUCAUUUUCAAAGUUCUUUGUCACGAUAACUUUCUAAAAUAUCACUUGUGUUCUAGCAAACAAACCGCGUUGUUUAUAAUUCUGAUUGAAUGUGUGGUCAAUUGAAAAUAAACUAGUACAGUAAGCAAAUAUAUAAUCACACUUGGUUUGGUUAAUGGUCUUAAUCAAACUUAAUGCAGAAUUACCUUCAUUCUCAUAUUCCUGGUGGAAUAUUAAUCUUGGCCGCGGGAUUAGUCAAGGUGACCUGGGGCCAUUCAGCACCCCGAUAGCAAUCGUUGCAGAAAUAUUUUAAUUUGUUCAAACGUGCACGAUGGAGCAUACUAAAUGUAUCAUAGAUAUAGUACCAGUACUAUCUUAACCAUAUAAGAUGAAUCAACAGAUACAGUACCAUAUCGAGGAUUAGCAAAUUGAUCUGUUACAAUUUAUAGGAGUGGCAUACCGCGCUGACUACAAGGGCCAUAAUCAAAUCGGUAAUGGACUAUAAUGGUAUUCUACAAUGAGAACAAAGUGAGGUGUAGUAGAUGUUCAUCGGAACAAUUCUUUUUUUUUUCUUAUCACCAUUAUAAUUCACAUGAUGGAGGUUUUCAGCAGUAGAAAAAAACAUGUUGCACUUAAUUGAUUCACAAACAGUCCUUGUUGCUAAAAAAAAUUAUCAUCACUAUAAUUCACAUGAUGGUGCAGGGAUCUGGAUUCAUAGGAUGGCGCAUCUCACUCCAAUAAGGAGUUGGUGCACCAUAUUGAUAAGGAUGGUAAAGGAUUGGCUGUACAGUUGGCGGCUUCUCAUCUGGCUUCUUCUCAUCUGGUUUUUUAUCUUCUGGCUUGUUCUCCGGAAUAGGAAUAGGAAUAGGCGCGACACUAACAAUUUCAGUGAAACCAAUUUUUUUCCUUAUCUUUACUGUCAAGUAAGUUAAAUCAAUUCCUUCCCCUGUAACAAUAAUUUGGUUCUUGUCAUCACAUUCAACCGAUGUAACACCUGCACACAACACUUGAUAUUAAUAUAUAAUCAUGCAUAUACACAAUACUCGAGAAUGCUAAUAAUACAAGGAGAACAGAAGUACCUGGAAUAACAGCAAUCUCCAUUGCUUUUCUCCUAGACGUUUCAUCAUUGAUUGACGAAAUUUUGAUCACGGCCUUAAGCUACAAGAUUAACACAAAAUAUACAUCGUGUUAAACAUAACGAGAAAUUACGUACACUACUAAUUACUUAUAAAUCUACACAUUAACGUACCUUCAUUGUCAAUUAAUCUGGGCAAAAUUGGACUAGAUUACUGCAAAGGUAAAGGUGCUAUACAAACAGACCACCGUAUCUCUGCUACUGAAUAUGAAGGAUGAGAUAAGUUCCAAGAUUUAUUACAAACUUUAUAUAUAUAUAACAUCUAGGUAGGUUUCCUUAUUGGUUUGUUGUAGGACAUAAUUAACAACAUACACCAAUAUUGGUUUCCAUUUUGAGUUUAUGAUUUAUUUAGAAUGCAUUAUAAGGAUUUGAGUUCAAGGAAUUGUAUUUGGAAAAAGUUUUUGUUUUCGGAAACUUUGAGUUAAUAAACGGAGAGAACUACGCCUGAAUUAUGCAAUGUGAAGAAUCAUAUAUAACAAACAAGCCUUGCAGGUCAAGGCGUGGUUGUCUCUUGUGUAACCUUGAGUCAGAUUCAACUAUAUAUGAAGAUUGUGGUCUAACAAAGGUACAAAGUACAUCGCAUCCAUAUCUUUUUUAUUUACAUGCUUUGCCAAACUACAUGUUGAUACGAGGAUAUACUGGCAUACUGCCUUGAUUUAUAAUUUAUAUUAUAGGAGUACUGGCAUACUGCCUUGAUUACAAGGGCCAUAAUCAAUCUAUAAUUGACUUUAUUGCCAUUGGUGUUCUAAUUUGAGAACAAAGUGAGGGGUAGUAUGUGUUCAUGGGUAGAAAAACUCAGGUACAAUGGUACAUAACAUAAUUGAUUCACAGACAGUCCUUGUUUACUAAAAAUAUAUAUUCAUCACCCUUAUAAUUCACAGGAUGGUGCAGGGAUCUGGAUUCGGGUGGCGAGCCUCACUCCAAUAAAAUGCUGGUGUUCCAUGUUGACAAAAGAUCGGUUGUACACUUGGCUUCUCAUCUGGCUUCUUGUCAUCUGGCUUUUUCUCUUUUGGCUUCUCCGGAAUAGGCGUGACACUAACUAUUUCAGUGUAACCAAUUUUUUUCCUUAUCUUUACUGACAAGCAAGUUAAAUCAAUUCCAUCCCCCGUAACAGCAAUCUGGUUCUUCUCAUCACCUUGCAAUUCAACCAAUGUAACACCUGCGCACAACACUUGAUAUAUAUUAAUGUAUAAUUAAUAUAUAUACACAAUAGAGCAUGCUAAUUCAAAGAGAACAGAAGUACCUGGAACACUACUGACAGCAAUCUCCAUUGCUUUUCUUCUGGAUCUAUCAUCAUACAUUGAUGAAAUCUUUAUUACUACCUUUUGCUGCAAGUUUAAAACAAAUUAUACAUCAUGCUAUUUAAGUUUAAUGAGCAAUUGUACGACUAGGAUACAUAUAUAUAAAUGUCUAUAAUAUAAGCGUACCUUCAUUGUCGAUUGGAUCAAGGCAAAUUGAACAAGAUGUUGUGUACUAGAUCAAUAGAGGCGCCAAACAAACAGAGAUACUCUACAACUGAAUAUGAAGAAUGAGAUGAACCCUAAACCCGUAAUGAACUUUAUUUAUAACUUCCCUUGUUGGAGUAAUCUUUAUGAGUUAAAAGGACUUAGUCUUUUACUCAUGUGUCAAUUAAACAUGAUGUAAACGAAUGAUGUCUUAUCAGAUAAUCCAAAAUGCCCUACUCGGUUUGGUUUUAAUAGAAAGUCAUUCAAAGAAAAGACUUCCAUAUCACCAAAAAACUUCUACAAGUCAUUUGUGUUGUGUAGAAUUUGAUCAGUGACAGAUCUAGGAAAUUUCAUUGAAAUUUAUUGCAAAGGGUCACCACGGAAAGCAUAGGAGAUAUGAAGGGACCACCAAUCUAGCUAGUGCUGGACUGUUGUAGCAUGGCAUCGUAUGUAGAGAAAGGGUCUUUAUAAAAAUAAAAAAGUCUUCUCAUUAUAAGGGCUACAAUACUAAUUGCAUACUUGGGUCAUUUUCUCAGUUCUUUGUCAUUUUGAAAGUAUCAUUCAUGCUUAUGCCCCUGCACAAGUUUUUGCAGGCAAGGCAUGCAUGUGAGGGAGAAGCAGUUGGCUUAAUUAAGAAGCUUUGGAUCAGUUGCAGCAAAAAAAUGAAAAAAAGAACAAGAUUGCAGAAUAAGCCCUUCCAAAUUAUAUAUUUCGUCAAGUACUUCAUCGAAAUCGUACGUGCUGAUAUAUUACCCGUAAAAGUUAAAAUAUAUAUAGAUGAUGUACAUGAUAUUAAAGUGGCUGCAUGUACAGGGAAAAAACACGUUUGGGAUCUGGUGGUAGAUUCCCCCAUUGAUGAAUUUUGUGCAGUACACAGUUUAAAUUAUUGGAGUGGUAUACUGUAUACAGUAACUUGAAAUGCCAUAGGGUUAACGGACUUUGUCUGUAGUUUGUCAUCUUCUCAAGUCAAGCAAACCGUGUUCAACCCGUGUUGCUAUGUGCAGUGCGUCCUGAGUGUUGAAUGAAGUUUCUAGAUCAGAUCAUUAAUGAAAAUUUAAAUUUUCAUUAAUCCAAAUUUAGGUCCACAAAACACUUAGAAGACGAAGACCCACCAGACUUGGAAAUCAAGUUGUGGAGACUAUAGAAAUAACUUGACCAAGAUAAUAUAACUAUCUAUGAUCCUUUUUCAAACAAAAUCAUUGACAUAUAUAUAUAUAUAUAUAUAUAUAUAUGAAUAUCUAGAUCUUCACAUGGGCAUGUCUCAGUUCAAAGUUGAAUUGUAUGCCCAGUUAGGCAGUUAAUGGACUCUUGUGGGGAUUUUCCAUGUUCUGAUAGUUUGAAUUUAGUACAGAAAGGUAGGACAAAGCAAGUAUAGGUGAGUGAGAAACUGAGAAUUGCACAUAUAUUCUAUUCUAUGGGGCUACUAAACAUAUGUAAUUGACGACAAAGGACUCUGUCAGAGUCCUUGCCACUUGAAUAAUUCCAAAACAAUAGUCCGCGUCUUGUCUUUUCUUUUUUUUCUUUUUUUUUUAUAAUCAAUACUCACAAGGAUUAAUUUACAUUAGAAUUGAAAACAAGCACCCAAUAGUCGUUUCAACUCGACCCAAGAACAUAUUCAUUUGAACCAACAGGCAAUGGUAAACAGUAAACACAUUACUAUCUGUUACUUUUUGUACUCGUGAAGAGCUCAACGAUUAGUAUAAGUUAUUAAUAUACCAACACAGUUUAGUGGCAUUUUGCUAGGGAGAUACAAAUCACAUUUCAAUUUACUUUAAGCUCAAAUAGUAACAUUCUUUGAACCACAAGUGCUCCAUCAGAGUAUAUAUACAAGCACUUAUACAAAUAACAAGUUUUCUCGCCAAAUUAAAAGGUGUUUCAUGAUAUUUUCGACAAUCAUAUCACUUGUGUUUUAACUAAAUCUUUACUACUUAUAACACAGGAGGUAAAACCUACAGUAAAAUAAUAUUAUUUUUAUGUCACUGUGUCACCAGACACAAAAGUUAUGACACGUGUCUUUUUUUUUUUUUUUUUUUUAUAACCAUACUGUGUGUAUAUAUAUCUGUAAAUCAGGCGCGGAGCGCGUGCAGUUACAUAGUGGCAAUAAAGAAAACGUGUUUUUUCUACAAAUAUCUAUAAUCUAAUUAAUUAUAUUGCAUGGGGCCAAUUACUGUAAUUGAAUUUGUAGGUGGACCAUAAGCUAAUUAAAACAACACUUGGUUGGUUGAUUGGUCUUUAUAAAAAACUAAUGCAGAACCAAUAUGUUUGAUAGCUAGAUUGACAUUAAUAAUUCUCAUGCAGUAUCAACAUCCAUUUUGCUAAAACAAAAAGUUCCACUUUCAGUUACUGAUCAAAAAUGAAAUUUACUUUUUUUUUUUUUUUGGUGAAUGAUGGGGUUUGGCAGGACCCCUACCUGUUCAUUAAAUGGAAAAAAUUGUAGCUUUGAAGGGGGACUAGGCCUUACCUUCUUACAAAGGGACCUAGAAAGAAAACAACUUGGGCUAAGAGACCUUACAACAGACUAAGACCAGAAAAAGCCCUAGUUAUAGUCAGCUCCUAGGAAAAUGUAGUUUGAAAAAGUAGACGGCAACAUCAAAUGUAGAGGCAGUUGGCAGUUCACGAAAAGCUCCUUGGUGCAAACAAACUCCUACAAUGGCUUCCUCCUCUUCUUCCUCCAAUCAUUCCAGCUCCUCUGAUGAUAGAAGUUAUGUUGCUACCCUGGUAUUUGAUCAGACAUGGUCAGCUGUGGAAAGUUCCCUUUGUGAGCUCCAUUUCGAUGCUUUUGAGAUCUUCAAAACUGGAUUGAGGGGUCUCUGUGAACAGGCUGUGAGAUCCUUGAAUGCAUCUGGCACCAACAACCCUGUUACUGAUGCUCUCCACAACUACUUCCCCCCCCCCCCUCCUGACAAGGUAAGUCAUGAAUGCUGGCUUGGCUUUGAGGGCUGGUUGGGAACACCAGAAGGGGAGAGGUUUAGGGGCCAUUGCGUGCCAUGGUGCAAGUAUGCUUACCACACCAUUGGGACCUGUGUAGACUGUCGCCUUGCUUCCACCACCAUGGGAGAGGUGUCUUAAGAUGAAGGAGAUGGCGCUGAAGGUGAUGAUGAUGAUGAUGGUAAUGAUGGAGGUGCUGGUGAAGAUGGAGUUGAAGAGAUGGAUGAUGCUGGACCCAAUGAUGCUGACAGUGAUGUUGAUGGCUAUGAUGGAGGCAAGAGUAGCAAAAAAACCCGCCUUUGAUAAGCUUCCCUAUUUUCUCUUUUGAUAACCUAGAUCUUCCAUGUAUUUCAGGCUAGAUGUAGACUUAUGCUCCCAUCUUAAUGUAGUGUAUUCCUAUUUUGAAUUAUCUUGAAUCUGUAUGCUUGAAUUAAUGAACAUGCCUGAUGUAUGGAAUAUUAGCUCUGUCUCCAUGUAGCAACAGCUUAAAGUCCCUAUCCACAUUGCAAUUUACUGCUCCCAUGCUCUUGAGUUUUAGACCUUGUUUGGACAGGUAGUCUGCACAGGCAUUCCCUUCUCUAUAGAUAUGAGUAGUCACUAUGUUCAUAGAGACUGACAGAUUUCUAUGGUGAGCCCACCAAUUCCUUAGAGACCAAGGGAUAGGUAGUUCUCUAUUCAACCAUUGAAGGGCCAUUUUAGAGUCUGUCUGUAGGUGAAUCAUAGUAUAUCCCAGUUGAAAACACAAAGCAAUACCAUCCAAAAUUGCCCUAGUUUCUGCCAAGUUGUUUGUUCCUUUUCCAUAGAAGGAGAAGAAAUUACUCAGAUGAGUACCUACCUUAUCUCUGAUGACUCCACCUCCUGCAGCUUCCCCUUGUUUGGCUGCUCCAUCUGUGUUCAAAGCAACAAAUCCAUCUGGAGGCCUUGUCUAGUAAACAAUGGUUGGGGGUUUGAGAGCUGGAUUUUUGGCAGUGAUCCCUAGAUUAGGGAUUAUUCUAUCAAAGUUUGUACUGGAUCUGUGCUUGGGGGUGUAGCAUUGAGAUAACUUGAGUAUCCAAUAUCUAACCUUCAAAAUAAUCAUGCUGCUAGAGUGUGCUGCCCAAGGAUAAGUAUCAUCAAACCUUCUACAACACCUUUCCUUCCAGAUUUCCCAGAGGAUAAGAAGAGGUGUGAUUGUAUAACAUAGGGCUUCCAUAGUUCCAGACUUUCCAACCCUAAACCAUGAUGUUAGAAUGAGAUUAAAGUUAGGGAACCUAGGUAACUGCAUAUCAUAAAUCCCAUUGAAGUGGUUCCAAACAGGUUUAGCCAGUUCACUUUGUAAAAAUAAAUGAAAAAUGUACUCUUCCUUUGAAGCCUGGCAGCAAGAGCAUCUUGAAGCCAUAUAAAUGUGACACUUUACAAUAGUGAGGUCCACUGGCACAGCUCCAUGGACAAGCUUCCAUAUGAAGAUUGAAAUCUUGGUUGGGAUGAAAUGCUGCCAUAAUCUUCUAAAAACCAUAGAACCUCUGGUGUCUCCUGUGAGUUUGGAAAUGUAGGACUUAAUGGAGAAAUUUUCAUCACUGAUGUAUGGCCAAAUUCUUGUGUCCUUUUCCAUCUCCCUUUUAAGCAUGUGAUAAUCCUCAUAGAGGUGCCUUUGGAUUGCAGAUGGAAAGAUAGGGAGAUUGAACUGGCUUGCAGCUGCUUCCUGUAGAGUUAGGUCUUGAUGUUCAUUUGCACCCUCCAAAUUAUUUAGACAUCUUGUUCCCCUCCAAUUUUCAUUAAUAACACUGAAAUUUCCAGGUCCAUACUCCCAGGUGGAAGAUUCCACCAGCUCUUGAAAACACUUCCAUAUGUCCUUCCAUAACCUGGAUGCUAAGACUAGAAGGUUUAUAGCUCGUACAGACUUACCUUUGAUAUAUUUAGCUCUCAUAAAAGAAGCCCAGAGUGUAUUUGCAUUUAGGAGGUUCCAUGCAGCUUUCAUUCUAAAGGCUUUAAGCACCAAAGGAAGUGGUCUAAUGCCAAGCCCUCCAACUUCUACAGGUCUUGUGAUUUUGUUCUAGGCAAUCCACUUUCUCUUCCUCCUACCAUCCUUGCUACCCCAGAUAAAAUUCGAGAAAAGAGAUUCCAGAGAUUUUAUAACCCUCUUAGGAAUAGCAUAGGCAGAAAACAUGUAUAUUGGCAUACUCUGAAGCACAUGCCGCAACAGUAUCAGUUUCCCCCAUUUGAGACUAGCUUAUUCUUCCAUCCAUCAACCUUUUUUCCUGACUUUAUUAGAAGAUGUUCAAAAUAUUCUGCUUUGGCCUGCCAUAGAAAAUAGGUACACCCAAGUAUUCCCAUAGGAGAAGCCUUGUGAUUAAAACCUGUGAUGGUUUUAGUAAUAUGUAUUCUCUCCCUUGAUGUGUUUGGUGCUAUGAAAGAGCUCUUUAGGGCAUUCACUUUUUGUCUAGAACACUGACAAUAAGCCUUGAGAAAUUUCAUGCAACCAGAUAUAGAGCUUCUUCUGCCAUUAAGGAAAACCAAGGUAUCGUCCGCGUAUAGAAGAUGAGUAACUGGAUAGCAACUUCUUGGAGAAGAAAAGUAGCCAAUUCUUUUAGCUUCAAACUCCAUCUUGAGUCCUUUGCUAAGAAGUUCUGCAGCUAGAAUGAAGAGAUAGGGGGAUAGAGGAUCCCCCUGCCUUAUACCUCUUGUUGAUAUAAAAUUCCCUCUAUAUGUACCUUGGAAUAAAACUGAAAAGCUGCAAGACUGUAUACAGGAAAGAAUCAUAUUUGCGUUGUGAAAAGAGAAACCAAACUUUAUCAAAACCUGGUGUAAGUAUGGUCACUCUAUCCUGUCAAAAGCCUUCUCCAUAUCCAUCUUUAGGACUAGAUUCCCUCCCAGAGAUCUUUUUGUGAUGUAUUGCAUCACUUCCUGGGCCAAACUUAUAUUCUCAGUUAUCAGUCUUCCCUUCACAAAAGCUCCCUGUUCAAGAGAAAUGAUCUUUGGAAGAAUAGGGGUUAGCCUCAGAGCAAUAAUUUGGAAAAACUUUUGUAACUUACAUUACAUAAGCUAAUAGGUCUGAACUCUGUCAAUCUUGUAGGGUUAUCUUUCUUAGGGAUCAUACAUAUAAAGUUGGUUUUGAAUGAAGAGGGUAGAGCCUGUCCAUUAAAGAAAGACACAACAGCUUUGUGAAGAUCUUCUUUGACAAUAUCCUAGGCGGUUUGGUAGAAACAGGCUGUGAGCCCAUCAGGACCUGGGGCACUGGUUGGGCACAUGCUGAAAACAGCAUCCUUGAGAUCUUCCAUAGUAGGGGCAGCCAUGAUCAACUGGUUAUCCUCCAUAUCCAACCCAGACUCAAUGACUCCCAUAAGAGCUUCAUUUGGAGUCCAUCCCUCAGAGCUAAGUUGGUUUUUGAAAAAAAAUCCACGGCUGCAUCAUGCAUAGUUUCUGCGUUGUCACACCAGAGAUCAGGAUCAUCUGUCAGUAAAAGCUUUUCCACCGUUACCCUUCUCCUAGCCACCAUUGAUGCAUGGAAGUACCUAGUGUUCUUUUCCCCUUCAAUGAUCCAUUUUUCUCCUGAUUUUUCUUGCAUCAAGAUCUCUUCUUGAAUAAGAGCUUGUUGAUACAGUGCUUGUUGUUUCUUCAACUCAAUAUGCAUACUUAAAUCCCAUCCCUGUAUGAGUGAGAACUCCAGCUCAGUGAUGUUGUCUUCCAGUGCCUUUAUUUUCUGUUGGAUGUUGCCAAAAAUAUGUUUAUUCCACCAUUUUAGCCUUGCUCUGAUGUUCCUUAUCUUCAUCUCAAGGUUAAGAAGUGGUUGAGGAGAGAAUCCAGAUAAACUUCAAUUCUCUUGUAUAAACUUCUUGUAAUCCUCAUGUUUUGUCCACAUCCUUUUGAACCUAAAAGGGUGGGGACCUUUAGUCUGGUAGGAUUCCACCAUUGAAGCAAGAAUUGGCAGAUGAUCAGAGUUUGCCCUAGGUAGGUGGGUAACCUCUAGGCUAGGGAAAGAGCCAACCCAAAUACCAUUGACCAGUACUCUAUCCAACCUUGCCCACCUUCUAUGGUAGCCCUGUUGGUUGUUGCACCAUGUGUACUUUGAACCUUUGAAGCCACAGUCUUGUAGGCCAGCAUUGAAGACAAAAUCAUUAAAAUCCUCCAUAGAGCCUAAAGAUACCAGAUCACUUCCCAAUCUUUCAUAUGAUUCUAGUACCGUGUUGAAGUCCCCUCCUACUAACCAUGGAAGUUGUGUAGAUGCACCAAAGUGACACAAAUCCUGCCAAAGAGGUCUCCUAUCAUGAUUAGGACAUUUUGCAUAAACCAGAGAAGCCAGGAAGGUUUUUGUGUAGCAGUAUGUAAAAUGGAUAAGUUUAUACAUUGAUUUGUUUCUGACACCUUUGUAACUUGAAAAGAAUAAUCCCAGAAAAUCCAAACUUUACCAUUAACCUGCUCAUUGGAGGUAAAAUUUGGAAGACCUGUCAGUCUAGAGAUACUUCUCAUCCUUCUUAAGGCAAUCAUAGGUUCUAACAGAACUAGAAAGAGAGGUUUGUAAGAUCUAACUAGAUUUCUCAACCUUCUCUUAGUGGGGUUGUUACCCACUCUUCUAACAUUCCAUAUCAGGAUUUUUUGCAACAUGUAAAACUUUUUAUAGAGGAGGAUGUAGUACCCUGAGCCUUGGCCCUUGUUUGCAUAGGAUGUGGGUAGGUCUUCUUUUGUUUCUUUAUGAUUUCUGGGUCAGAACCAUACACCACUAUAGCUUGAUCUUCUAGGUCAUCUCGAUCCUCCUCUUCUACCUCUCCAUUAGUAAUAAGUAGUUGGGAUGGAGAGGUGUAAACUUCCAAGGGAAAGCCCCCACUUAAAGUUGGGGAUUGAGGAGUAGGAAUAGUUUCUAGUGAUAUCUGUGCAAGAGCAGGAAUUUCUGAUGAUUCUUCCAAAGAAGGUUGGGCCUGAUUACCUAUAGAAGUAAACUGAACUUCCAAACUGUCCUGAUUAAUGCUCUCAACCAUAGGACAUUCUUGAAACCGGCACGAAGUGGUUUGACAUCAAUUUUGUGACAUUGGUCGUCCUUGGUUAUUUCGCCUUGAGUUCAUUGUUAAGAAAACCUUGUUGUACGCGCGUCGUCCCGUGUCCUUGUCUUCGCGUCGUGUGUCUCAAGUAUGGUGUUUGGUUCAGGACGUACGUACCUCUUCAGGUCGUACGUACGUAUGGUAUGUCAGCAGAAAGUUUGUUUGGUCUGGACGUACGUACCUUCUUAGGACGUUCGUACUUCCAAGUAGUCAGCAGGUUUAUGUCGGUUUGAGACGUACGAACGUCAUAUCGACGUACGUACGUCCAAUGUGGAUUUCAGCAAUUCCGGCCCAUUUUGUGUGUGUUCUAACCCUAAGUAUAAAUAAGGUUUCUCUACCAAAGAACAAAUUAGUUCUUUGGCCGUCCAAUUCAUCUCUAGUCUUGGAGUUUGUUUAGGUUUUGGUUUAGGUGGCUUUGGUGAUUGAACUCAUCUUCUUCUUCCCCAUUCAUCUUCUUCUUCAUUAUUGUUUAUAUUGAUUUAGCUUCGAGUCUUCUUGUGUGUUCAUCAAGAAGUCGAGUAUCCUUGUGUGUUCAUCAAGGAACUCUGGUGUAAGCUUGUUUCAUAGUUCGGCUUCGAGUCUUCUUGUGUGUUCAUCAAGAAGUCGAGUGUCUUGUGCGUACAUCAAGGUGCUCUGGUGAAGUCAAGGUGUUAGAGAUAACCAGUAGUGUCAACUCGCAGUGAUUGCAGGUAGUUGAUAGGUUUGUACAUCUCUUUUCAUUUAGUGGAUUUAUUUGUUGUCGCAAGGACAACCGUGGACGUUUCCCAUAUUGGGUUUUACCACGUUAAAAAUAUCGUGUGUUCUUUAUUUGUUUAUUGCUUUAUUGUUUGCUUUACUAUUGUUAUAUUGCACAUACAUUGGGUUUUCAAUUCUGCAGAUGGCCAAACUAUCGAACUAUGCAACAAAGUAGGGUCAAAUUCCCAUUGUAUGCAAUAAACAAAAUUAGGGUUUAAAAAAUCAUCAAACUAUUAAUGUUUAUCAAUUUAUGCAACCUGUUAAAUAUUUUCUAACAGACGUUUAGAUUUUCUUACGUUUUUUUUUUUUUAAAUUAUUUCUGACUGUAUAUUGCUGACUGUAUAUGCUGACUGUGUGAAAAGAACCUACCACGCACCCAGCACGUGAUUGUUCUUACAAACCUAAAAAAAACACUUUCUGCUGAGAAGAAAAACCCCAAUUCUGGGAGAUGACGGCCAUGGAUUCUUGAGGAAGAAGAAGAGUAAAAACAAAAGAAGAAAAAAAAGGAAGGAGAUUCCUACAAGACAUGUCUUCUUCGAAGUGCUAUUGUGGGCCAUCAUCUCCUUUGAAAUUGGCUUGGACAGAGGAAAACGCAGGUAGGAGAUUCCUUGGUUGCUCAAAUUAUAUGAAGAAGGAUGGUUCUAUUUUUCGUUGUAAGCACUUCAAAUGGGUUAAUGACUAUUAUCCAACACUUCGUGAUCGAGUAUGGGGUAUGCAUUCUCAAAUUGAUGCAUUGAAGGGGAAGAAGGAAGAGUUGGAAUUGAAUGUAUUAACUUUGAAGGAGAAUUUGAAGAUUGAAGAACAAAAUACCUUGCAAUGGAUGGCAAAAGCUCAUGAUUUGGAAAAGGAAGUUCACAAUGCUGCUAGGAAGAACAAAAUUUUUGUUUGUUGUGUUGUUUUCUUAGUUUGCAUAUGGGUUUAUAUAAAAUUUUAGGAUUGAUUAUGAAAUUGGUGUUAAGAAUUGAAGUAGAAUUGGUGUUAUGAAUUGCAAAUACUAUGAAUGAAAUUUUCUUUUGAUUCUCCAUUGAUUUAUUGAGGUACAAUUUUUUUAUACUGUUGCCAAUUUGGAAGUGCAUUACAAAUUCAAGUUAAAUGCGCAUUUCAGUAUAAUUUGCCCGGAACAUGUAAAAUUUGUUCAAUGCUACAACAUUGGGUUUAAGGUCAUCUUUUAUGUAAUUAGUUCAAGCAAACAGAUUUCUCAGUGUACAGAUCAAGAUGUUAAUGCAAUAUUAAGCAAGGCUAUAUGCUAGUGUUGGUACUUAUUAUUCCCAAGAGGCCUCACCACAUUUAUAUACAAAGAUAUAGGAAACUUCAUUGAUCCUUAGUGCAAUCGAUAGAUUUCUGCAUCAUAGAAUAGACCAAGCUAUUCAUAAUUACAACUUGAAAAUAGUUGAUUAGUAUAUUAAUCAACUCAACAAUAGUUGAUUAGUACAUUAAUCAACUCAAAUAUCAGUUGAUUAACAUGCUAAUCAACUCAAUAAUAGUUGAUUAGUACAUUAAUCAACUUAAAUAUCAGUUGAUUAUCAUAUUAAUUAACUCAAAUGUUUGUUGAUUAACUUAUUAAUCAACUUAAAUUUCAGCUGAUUAUCAUUAAUCAACUCCACUAACAUGUUAAUUAAUUUAUACUUUCAUUUCUAUUUAGUUGAUUAGUAUUAAUCAACUCAACAAUAGUUGAUUAGUAUAUUAAUCAACUCAAAUAUCAGUUAAUUAGUACAUUAAUCACAUUAAUCAACUCAAAUAUCAGUUGAUUAACAUGCUAAUUCAACUUAGUAAUUUGUCCAAAAUAGAACAUNNNNNNNNNNNNNNNNNNNNNNNNNNNNNNNNNNNNNNNNNNNNNNNNNNNNNNNNNNNNNNNNNNNNNNNNNNNNNNNNNNNNNNNNNNNNNNNNNNNNNNNNNNNNNNNNNNNNNNNNNNNNNNNNNNNNNNNNNNNNNNNNNNNNNNNNNNNNNNNNNNNNNNNNNNNNNNNNNNNNNNNNNNNNNNNNNNNNNNNNNNNNNNNNNNNNNNNNNNNNNNNNNNNNNNNNNNNNNNNNNNNNNNNNNNNNNNNNNNNNNNNNNNNNNNNNNNNNNNNNNNNNNNNNNNNNNNNNNNNNNNNNNNNNNNNNNNNNNNNNNNNNNNNNNNNNNNNNNNNNNNNNNNNNNNNNNNNNNNNNNNNNNNNNNNNNNNNNNNNNNNNNNNNNNNNNNNNNNNNNNNNNNNNNNNNNNNNNNNNNNNNNNNNNNNNNNNNNNNNNNNNNNNNNNNNNNNNNNNNNNNNNNNNNNNNNNNNNNNNNNNNNNNNNNNNNNNNNNNNNNNNNNNNNNNNNNNNNNNNNNNNNNNNNNNNNNNNNNNNNNNNNNNNNNNNNNNNNNNNNNNNNNNNNNNNNNNNNNNNNNNNNNNNNNNNNNNNNNNNNNNNNNNNNNNNNNNNNNNNNNNNNNNNNNNNNNNNNNNNNNNNNNNNNNNNNNNNNNNNNNNNNNNNNNNNNNNNNNNNNNNNNNNNNNNNNNNNNNNNNNNNNNNNNNNNNNNNNNNNNNNNNNNNNNNNNNNNNNNNNNNNNNNNNNNNNNNNNNNNNNNNNNNNNNNNNNNNNNNNNNNNNNNNNNNNNNNNNNNNNNNNNNNNNNNNNNNNNNNNNNNNNNNNNNNNNNNNNNNNNNNNNNNNNNNNNNNNNNNNNNNNNNNNNNNNNNNNNNNNNNNNNNNNNNNNNNNNNNNNNNNNNNNNNNNNNNNNNNNNNNNNNNNNNNNNNNNNNNNNNNNNNNNNNNNNNNNNNNNNNNNNNNNNNNNNNNNNNNNNNNNNNNNNNNNNNNNNNNNNNNNNNNNNNNNNNNNNNNNNNNNNNNNNNNNNNNNNNNNNNNNNNNNNNNNNNNNNNNNNNNNNNNNNNNNNNNNNNNNNNNNNNNNNNNNNNNNNNNNNNNNNNNNNNNNNNNNNNNNNNNNNNNNNNNNNNNNNNNNUUUCUAUCAAAUGGAGGCAAAGAGGUUCACAAUUAGAUUUUGGCCACAACAUGGGACCAUCAAGUGGUUCAAUAUAAUGAUCAUAUGCCUUCUUCCAUUUCUCGACUGUGAACCAUUCAAAUAUGUAAUCCUCAGGAUUCUCCUUGAGAUAAUAAAUUGCUUUGAUAGAAUGACAACAUGGGAUCCCAGACAACUCCCACAUUCUGCAUGAACAUCUAUAAUUUUGUGGAUUCAAGUUCACAGAAAAUUGUUCUUCACCUAAUGAAACUUCAAACUUUCUAUUCCCAUUGUAAGAAACCCUCCAAAAUCUCUUAUCCAUCCUGUUCUCUUCAAACUUUUUCCUAAUUCUUGGAGUAAAUUUGUCUUUCACCAUCCAUUUUUCUAUUGCACUUCUGUUCCUCUCCAUCCUUCCCACUACAUAUUUCUUAAUGGUCUCCAACAUCCAGAUUAUUAGUUUACCCCUUGCUUCAACAAUUUUCCCAUUGAAUGUCUCACUCAUGUUAUUCUCUACAGCAUCACAACAAGCUUGUUUUGAAUAAAAUGCCCUAGACCAGUGUUUAGGAUCAGUUUUCAUGAGGUAGUCAUAAGCAUCCUCAGAAAUCUCCUUAAGGUCUGCCAUAUGUUGUUCAAAUUCCUGCUUAGUACCUGCUUUAGCUGCAGACCAGAAAAGCACCUUUAGUUCAGCACCCAUGUAGGACUUCCUCAUGUUAGAAUACACAUGCCUAGCACACAUCCUAUGUUCAGCUUCAGGCAUCAGCUCUUGAAUUGCUUGAAUUAAUCCUUUCUGUUUAUCUGAGAUGAAAGUCCAUCCAGCCCCUUCUGAUGUGUUCAAAGCUACCAUUAAAUGUUCUAGAAACCACUUCCAGUUUUCCUUAUUUUCAACUGUAACUACUGCCCAAGCAAAUGUGUACAUCUGGUUAUUUGCAUCCCUACCUACAGCUGUCAGCAAUUCACUCUUCACAUAUCCUUUAAAAAAACAUCCAUCAAGGCCUAUUAUAGGUCUACACCCUUCCAGAAAUCCUUGAAUGAGACUUGGAAAAGAAAUCCAGAUAGUUUUCAAUGUUGGGGGAUCACCUGGCAGAGCUCUAUCAACAGUUAUAUCUACAACAGCACCUGGAUUCUUCUUAACCACUUCUUCACCAUAAUCUCUAACCCUUGCGUAAUGCUCCACCAAAGAACUCUCAAUCCCACCCAUAGCCCUAGCCCUUGCUCUGCCACACAUGUUAAUGCUAACAUCUAUAGAAUAUGUUUCCAACACAUUAGUCUGAAAAUCCUUCAACUUCCACUGCGGGUUAUCAAGCAACUUUUUCUGGUAUACCUUAGCCAACCACUCAGCCUUAACAAUCUUAAUAUUAAAAGUCCUUGUACACCUGUGUUCUAAAUUCAGUGUUUUUAUUUGCACACUAUUCUCAUCUGACAUCUUUGUGGCCCACAACCUCCAUGGACAUCCUUUCACACACUUUGCAAGCAAAAUGUCUUUGCUUGUUCUGUCAAAGUUAAUGCCCCAACCAUUUUUAACUGCAUAUCCUGUUUACAGUCUCUGAGUUGAUCAGUGUUCUUGAAUUUCUGGUACAAUUCAGGAACAAAUGUGAAAAUAUCCCUCUUAGGAUUCCAGACUGGACAUUUAGGUUUCUUUAUUUUUUUCUUUAUCACUGAAUCUUCUUCAUCACUGCUAUCUGAUGAUCUGUUCAAUUCAUCACUGUCAGCAACAUCACUUAACUCACCAUCUACAUUAAAACAGGUUUCUGCAUUAUCAACAAAAGCAGGUAGUUCCACAUCUUCUGAUUUUUUGGUAGUCUUUUUUCCCUUCUUUCCUUUCAUUUCUUUUUGUUGUUCAACUCUUACUUCUCUUAGUUCAUCAUCACUUACAUCAAUAGAUCUUGCCUCACUAUCAACACUUCCAGUUUCACAAAUUGGUCAUUCUCUUCGUAAAUAUCAUUGUCUUCAUCAUCUUCAUAAGCAGCAUUAUUGUCUUCAUCAUUUUCAUAAACAACAUUGUCUCCAUGCUCUUCUGGUUUAUUAGGCUGACUUGAUUCCCCAAAGUCCCAGAAUACCUCAUCAAACAAAUCAUGUUCAACAUAGAGCUCAAUCAGCUCUUUACUCUGCACAGCAUUCAUCAUAUCUACAGUGCUUCUAUCAUCCACAACCAACCUUAAGUUAUCCUUCAAAGGUCUUCCAGCUACACACCAAUGUAUCUUACUCACAUCUCCAUAUUUCAAAUCAUCUUCAAUGUAGGACUUAAUCUCAACUGCACCAAGCUUAUCAACAUCCAAUGCAAAAUAGUCUUUUUUCCCCAUUUUAUAAUGCAUCGAAGGAAUGAGGGAAAAAAACCCUCCAUGAUGCACCUCAAACACAAUUUCUUGCAUCACUGUUUCAAAGUGAUAAAAAAAAUGCUUAAUAACAAACAUUACAAUAGUUAAGUGUUGAAAUGUCCAUUACAAUAAACUAAGUGUCAAAACAAACAUUGCUUAAUAAACUAAGUAUCAUGAAUAAACUAGUAUUGUAUACCAACAUGCUUAAUAAACUAAGUAUCAUGAAUAAACUAAGUAUCAUGAAUAAACUAAGUAUUGUCAUACCAACAUGCUUAAUAAACUAAGUGUCGAAAUGUCAUGAAUGAGUAAACAAACAGAAAAUUCAAUAAUGAGUAAGCAAAUGGGUACUUUAUAGAUUACAAUUAACUAAUAAAAAAGUGGCUGACUUUAAGCAAACAUGAGUAAACUAAGUAUAAAAAUCAGUGGUUUAAGCAUGAAUAAACAACAUUAGUUGUUCCACAAACCUAAAAUUCGAACUAUACAGUAAAAGCCCAAAUUGUGUUUUUAAAACCCUAUAUAUCAAAUCCACAUAAUUGAAAAAAAUAAACAAUCAUUUUAUCGUUAAAUUCCAUUGUUUAAAGUACAUUGAAUUGCUAAAACAAUACCACAAAGUAUGAAUCGAUGAAUCAAAACAAAAUUAAAGUGGACUCACCAAUAAAAUAUGAAUCGAUGAGUGGACUCAACAAUAUAAUAAUGUUCUUCUUUUUCUUCUUUUUUCUUCUUUUUUCUUCUUUUGCUUUUACUCUUCUUCUUCCUCAAGAAUCCAUGGCCGUCAUCUCCCAGAAUUGGGGUUUUUUUUCUCAGCAGAAAGUGUUUUUUUUAGGUUUGUAAGAACAAUCACGUGCUGGGUGCGUGGUAGGUUUUUUUCACACAGUCAGCAUAUACAGUCAGCAAUAUACAGUCAGAAAUAAUUUAAAAAAAAAAAAACACGUAAGAAAAUCUAAACGUCUGUUAGAAAAUAUUUAACAGGUUGCAUAAAUUGAUAAACAUUAAUAGUUUGAUGAUUUUUUAAACCCUAAUUUUGUUUAUUGCAUACAAUGGGAAUUUGACCCUACUUUGUUGCAUAGUUCGAUAGUUUGGGCCUUCUGCAGAUCGUGUAAGGAGACCUUAUGACACUGAGCUUCAUUAGUCUCCGAUGAUAUGCAUUGACACCACAGGUAUCUCUGAGCUGGUCCCUUGACAUAUUAUCUUGCUUCUCCAUUGGUAAUGUUUUUUCUACCUCUAAAACUUCUUCUUCCUCAAGAACUUGAAUAUCACCUUCGUCAUCUAAAGAGUUUAAGGCUUCAAAAGGGUUUGAGACAGCUAUGGGGGAGGGGGGGGGGGGUUUGGAACAACAUCAAGGUUUGCAGGUCCAUGAGUAUCUAAUGAUGAUUGCUUCUCAGGAAGAUUACUAAGAACGUCCCCUUGAUCACUAGCUUGUCCAAGUUCUACUAUUCUUCCUAAAUUAAGAAAAGAAAGAAACAUUGCUGAAUAAUCUCUUGGAAAUUCUGUAGUACUUUGUACAAUCAUUCUUGUAAUGCAGGAAGCUGUUCUAACACAAGACAAGCUUCUUAGCUGGGGUAUGCUACAAGAUACAAAUCGCAUGCUCUGCAACCUAGAAUAUGGAGUACCACAGAAAGGUAACGAUGGAAGACAAGCUACAGUUCCAAGGCCAAUGCUGCAACCGCAGGUACCACCAAUCUGCAAUGUGAGAAAUGUAAAUACAGUGACUGCAGUUAAUCAAGGACCUAACACCAGUAGAAGGCAUGUUGCAGAGACCUCCAAACAUCUGUUUCUCGACUACACUUACUCUAAGAAAGUUUGGACAGAACUUCUGAAUUGGUGUGGGAUUAGGAGGACUGUGAAGACUGCAGUGUAUGAAUGGAAAUGGAUUAGUAGAAGCCUAAAAGGGAAGAAGCUCUAGGAAGACCUAUGCCAGGUGGCACUAUGUGCUACAACGUACUGGCUAUGGAGAGAACGUAAUGCACGAAUAUUUGAAGGCAAAGAAUCCAACGAAGCAGCCCUGAUAAAUAAGAUCGCAGAAACUGCAAGCUCAGGACACGGAGAAAAAGCAGAAUUCUAGAUGAUACACCUGCUAACAGAGCCAUAUCUGAUAGAAUGCAUAUCCAGGCAAAUAAAUAAAUAUUCUAGAAUUCUAGAUGAUACCCCCAAUUUUUGAUAAAUGAAUAUUCACUAAAUAAAUAGCAAAUAUUCAUAGAUCAAAUGCCAGGAUGUGAUCAAGUCGGCCCCACAUAGGACCCAGAUAGGCAAAAACAUUCAAAACAAUAGACUACAAAGAAUCAACAAUAAAGCUUCAAUCAUAUUAAUUAACUUCAAGACAUAAAUAGCUCCAAAUAAAUAAUCCAAAUGAUAACUCCAAAUAACAACUCUAAAUAUUACAAAUUUACAUGGUCUCCAAAACCAAAAUAAAUACUGAGUUCAAAGAAUAAGAAAAUAACUGAAUCCAAAUAGUGAAAACUGCAACGUCUCUCGAGUACAACUCCAACUCAAGCCUCCCGCUCUCCCACAAUCUUCUCCAUCUCUACGCCCGACCAAAACGUACCCCAAGUUGCAAAAGAAACAACGAGGGUCGACAAAUUGAAUUUGUUGGUAUGAGUGUCUCUCAUAAAAAGAGAGAUCACCGAAAAACCAACUACUAUAAAUAAAUAGGAAUAAUAAAUGCCAACAUGUUUUUCUAAGCAAAAUAAUAAAUAAUCUAACUUACCAGCUCCUUCGUCCACUAUGGUGAGUCAACCUGCAAGAGAGUUAGUAGACCCACCAUCCUGCACUGUAAUUAGUAAAUGUUGUAGUAAAUGAUAAGGCAAAACACUUAAAGCCAUAACGUAUCAACCAUGGAAAGGCACGCCAAACGCUAACUUUUUGGUUAGUCUACACUAUUAAGUUUGCACCCUAGCCACACACACAAAACCGGCAUGUCUACAGCACUACUAUGCCAACAGUGUAUAGACUCACGACCUCUUUAGGUUCUACUGAAAGGUGAACCUAUACACGCGCGCGCUAAAACCACUCGUCUACACAAGAGAACGAGUAAAAUAAACAGCACCGAGCGAAAGGUGCAAUGGGCAAAAUAACCGAGUCUCACUUGGAUCGCACCAAGUACCCAAAAGUCCAAAUCAUAUAAUCAAGUCCUUUAAAUACCAUGCCCGAAGACAAACAACCCAUAAAUGAAGUCCAAAACAAAAAAUGGGAAAGGUGUGGCAACUAGGGGAUUUCCUAAUUAUCCUACUGUUUUAUUUCUUUAGUCAAUCAAGCGUUCAAACAAAUAGUCAAUAAUCACGAAAAUCGAAUAAACGACUAUUUGGUCCAUAAGAUAUAACCUUAAUCAUGCGGCAUUUUUGUAAUCCCCAAAUAGUGCAAAGUUCUAAUGGAUAACUAACAUGAAACAAUAAAGUAAAACAGUGCAAGAGAUGACACAAUAUUUAACGUGGUAAAACCCUAAACCGGGAAACAUCCACGACCGUCCUCAGACGAUAAACAAUCCACUAUAUCAAUAAAAGUUACACUCGCAGUAAUAAACUCCGGUUAACUCAAUCCCUGAUGUUAACACCUGCAACUGCACUCCGGGUAGUCUUCUACUUGAUAUAACUGUGGUUCACUUCACAGACUCUCUCUGAGAAGUAGCUCUUAAUCAAUCAAUGGAGAACUUGUUGGAAUGGAGAAGAUGAAGGUUUCCUUGCAUCACACAGAAGCUCUAGAGGUGAUGGAGAGAUUAGAAUCUUUAAGGUUUCUUUGUUGUAGAGAAACCCUAUUAAUAUUCCAUAACGGGCCUUAACCCAAUUGGGCACAUUCCACACUUGGGCUUGUAGCUUCAGCUCCAAUCCACGAAUUGUGUCAACCUUGUAACCUGGGGGUUACAAUUUUACCUCGGAUAAAUAAUCAAUUUCAUUACUAAGGUUAAUCCAACAUCAUCCAUGGCAUCAGACCAUUCCAAGAGUUCACUUACAAAAAUCCCGCAAAUUCAGAAAUACUCAUUUAAUAAACAUUGUUUCAAAAGUCAUUAAAUUCACUAAACAUACACAAUAUCAUUGUUAAAUUUCCCUGGUGGUUACAAUCUCCCCUUGACACAUUUCGUGAUAAAAGACUCUUUGACUCUAAUCUUACAUUGCAUUGAACAUUCCAAGACUCAACAAAUGAAAGACUAUGGUCGUAAUGCCAUUACAGACUCGAAUAGACACUCGCACCUAAACACCUUGAAGAAUCACACAAAAACUUCUCUUCAAGAACUCCCCCUUGAUCUUUGACUUAUAGAGUCCGAGCUUUUUCUCCCCGUUAAUUGUUGCAUACCUGAAAUAAGAUAUAAACAAGAACUUUGAGAAAAAGAGGGAUUAGAGUCAAUAUACUCUCCCCCUUUUUGUCACAAAUGGACAACAAGGUGAGGGCAACACACGAAAGUAAGAAAACAAGGAAAGACACUAAUGGAGCUAACGAGGAAUGAGUUAUAAUGACACUGCAUGCGUAAGCAAGUUAAUAACCUUGAAAGAUAUGCCAUAACAAAAUAAUAGUUCCAACAUAAACUAAACUGAUCACAUAAAGAACCUGUCCUAUAGUCAACAUAAGAUUAUACAAUCCUUAACCAUCAACCAAAUAACUUAAAAGAUAGGAAUUAAAAGGUUAAGAAAGAUAACACAAAAAGUCAUUCAUCCGCAGCAACAUGAUCAUCCUCAGCAGGUGGAGGCAUGGCAGUACUGUACGCAGCACCAUCUGUAGGUUCAGGAACAGGCAGGCCAUCCUUGACAUACAACCCCAUCAGUAACUGACAAGUAUACUGAACCUGUCGACUCAGAAGUGAAUGGGACUCCUGCAAACCCUGAAGUCGAGCACCUACGUCGAUUGGAACAUUCACAAGCUCAGGAGCUGGGGGUGGAGGUACAUCAGGAACCCCCAUAACAAUCAUAUCAUAAUCAUCAUGUUCAUCCAGAGGAACACCACCACAAAUCAGAUGAUGAGUCAGGGGCCUACGCGGACUGACAAAAAUGUCCUACGUUGAGAGAUACCAGAACGCACUAACUUAUUCCAGUCCUUGGCCUUAUAGGGUACAAGAUCAGCUACCUCACCAGUUAGAGGAACAUUCAAAAACUUAAGAAUGGAUGAAAUAAAACAAGGAAACGAAAGAGACUGAGAGUUACCAACAGACUUCAUGGCAUGAAAGAUAACCUUCGAGAGAUGUACAUGACGUUGUGUCAUACACCAUAAAAGCUCAACUGCCUCACCAGUAAUAUUGGUCUUGUUGCCCUUACCAGGAAUAAGAUUGGCCAAAAGAAAGACAUGCAUCAGAAUCAGAGCAUAUGACCGUAAGUGAUGACGCUGAGUUUUCCCAUCAAUGAACACCUCGUUCACAAAGAAGCGAUGAACAAAAGAGGAGUCUUCUGUUAGAGGCCACGGCUCAUGAGCAUCCUCAUCAAGACACAGAGUGUCAAUGCCCAGUGCUUCAGCAAUCAGCUGGGGAGUAAUAAUAUACUUCUUACCAAACAUUGUAAUACUGAAUUGAGGACUCCCCAUAACCGGCUUCAAGUAUGCAUAGAACAGAAUCGUGGACUCCCGGUAAGCCUUGCAUUUUCGUUGAAGGACAUUCAACCAAUUCCGCUGUGUGUAGAAGUCAACAACUGGACCAAUCUGAGAUGCCCCAAGUGACGAGGAAAGAAUAUCCUGAAGAUCAAAAGAAUGUUCGGGAAACAAACUCUUGAUAGAGACUGGUGCUGCACUAGAGGAAGCCGAAGUCCUCGGACGACGUGCAGUCAUGGACGGGGAAGUAGUCGGAGAAGAGCUCUGUGGACGAGUGCGCUUCGACAUUUCCUAAACAUAUUAGACAAGAAAGUUCAACUAAUGAAUCAAACAUAACAAAAACAACCAAACCAGUCCAUUGAGACAAUUUAACAAACACUUGGUGAGCAUAACUAACAAAGACAAUAACAAGUAAUACUGGCACAGAGCAAAUCCAAGCAAAUCAAGUUCAUCACACAAAGGAUACCAUCAAGAAUAACACAAAAAAAAAAAAUGAAGAUGGCAUACAAAUUCUAGAAUCACGGAGAAGGAUGGACACGGAAUACAUAAAAUAUAAAAAUAAAAGAGAACACAAGAAGAAAAAGAGAAGAACAAUUAGAAGGAAGAAAAGAUGGGACUUACUUGCAACCACAAACACACAACAAGCUUGAGAGAAGAAGGAAGAAUGGAAGAACCAAAAAAAUAAAAUAAAAUAAAAAUUCGUUGAGCUUAUCAAUAAAAAAAUUUCUUCAUAAAAAAGUUUGCUUUCGUAGCUUCUGAUGAACUGGUUUUGGCGAUCUACAGUGGCGUAUGGCAACCCUCCCAUUGCGUAUGGGUGGACUUGGCAUCUAUUGUGCUACUGAUGUUAUGAAGUUUGCUUUCGUAGCUUCACGUACGCAAACCAAGGAUCUCCAGGACCACAUUCUUCGAGGUUGUGACACUCCACCUAUGGGUAAUGUUUUCGAUACUGCCAUUGCUAGUUUACAUCUUUCUAUACCUGAUUUUGAUCUCAGUAAUCUUGCUCCAACUGCUACCGUCCCCUUCAGACCCCAACAUGUCUUGGCGGAAGCAUACUACAACAAGAUUAGUUUUGGUCUUGAGAGGGAAUUUGAGUUGUCAGCUAGACAAAAAGCCGUGAUUGGAUGUGUGCAGUCAGAACAUGCCAAAGAUUUUCUCCUUGCUAUCCCGAUGAAAGGGCUUGGAAAACGCAUGACGCCUGUAGAAUAUCGUGUCAUUCUUCGUUAUCGAUUGAUGAUCCCUCUAUAUUCAGAUGGUGAGCUUUGUCCAGUGUGCAAAGAAGAGUAGACUUGAUGCUUUCGGGGACCAUGCGGCCCAUUGUAAGCAUUACCCCGGCUUCAAGUACAGGCAUGACCACGUUAGAGAUAUCUUGUGUGAUGUGUUCUGGCGGGCUACCGUACAGGUUAAGAAGGAGGCUCCUGUUAACUUUCUUACUGAUCCUAAGGAAAGAAGAUCGACAUUACGUCCUGCUGAUAUUCUGGUCUACAACUGGUCUGAAGGUAAACAUGCCUGUGUUGAUGUCACAGGGGCGUCNNNNNNNNNNNNNNNNNNNNNNNNNNNNNNNNNNNNNNNNNNNNNNNNNNNNNNNNNNNNNNNNNNNNNNNNNNNNNNNNNNNNNNNNNNNNNNNNNNNNUGAGAUUUUUGAGGUGGGGCUAGCAGCUAGCAUGCAGCAGCGGCAAAAGUGGAGAACAUGACGGAGCUGUAGGGCUAACCAACAUAGUUCAUCCCCUUUGCAUUGACACAUUGGAUUGUUAGGCUCAGAAGCAGUUGAGCUCCUCAGGAGAGUGCAAAAGAUAAUGGAUAGCAACGUGAUGACUGCAGGUUCGAACGAAUAUGUAUUUAGGAGAAUCGAGUUUGCUAUCCAGAAAGGACUUGCCGCGCAGUUUGUAGCGCGUUUGUCCUCUACUUUUGUGUAAUUUGUUGAGCUUAUCAAUAAAAUUUUAUUUCUAUCAAAACAAAAAAAAUCAAAACCAAAGAACUUACCAAAGAUGAAACGAGAGAGAAAGGAAAGAAAGAAAAGAGAAAAUAGAAAGGAAAUAAAACCGAUUUAUAAUUUGUUGUUGGAACUAAAACGUUCGAAUCUCCCGUCGCAACGUUCAAAUCAAAACCAAUUUUAGAUAGAAACAACCAGAGGGAAAAAGACACAACAUUCGGACAAUUAAAGCAAACGUUCGAAUCGAAAUGAGUAAAAAACACUCAUUAAAAAACGUUCGAAUCGAAUUACAAAACGUUCGAACCUAAUGCAGACAUGAAUUAAACAAAUGUUCGGCCGAACAGAUCGUCACGAAUAAUACGUGUAACAUUCGUCAAUUAGUUAGACAUGCGCCGAAUUAUUGACGUACUCCAGGGAUUAACGUUCGAACCAAUUCCAAAUACGUUCGAACCAAAAUGAGUACAGAACAUGCGUUUAAAACCAUUCGAACCAUAAUGACGAAGGUUCAAACCAAAUACAGAAAACCGUUCGAACCUCAAUAAAAAGCGUUCGAACCAAACGAGUACAGAACACAUAAUAAAAAACGUUCAAACCAAAGGGAAAAUGGUUCAAACCAACUAGAAGAAAAUGUUCAAACCACACAUAGAAACGUUCGAACCAAAGACCAGAAAAAGAACCAACAAUGAAGAAAAUCUUCUUUGGACUAAAAACCGAAAAAUUUCAAAGGGAAAAGAGAAACAAGAACUAGGAAAAACCUUCGCAUAAGCAGACAAGCUAUAAUAGCACAUCACAAACCGCCAUGUAGACAUCACAAAGUUGUCAAUUACAAGAAACAACAAUAUAGAAACACGGAACAGACACAUCAACGCACAAGGCAUAUAUAUCAUGAACACAAUUGCGACGUGUGAGUAAUGCAAAACUAAGCAUGUAUGAAAGCGUACACCACAAGAAUGAUCAGAUUGAUCUCCAAGAACCACACACCAAGUAAGAGCGACUUAAGUAGGAGAGACUAUGGCCAAGAAAGAAGAUGUCGAUAGAGAAAACACAAAGUAAUUAACGCCUUCAACAAGAAUUUACUUGCAAAUGAAUCAAUAUUUAUUGAUCUUCCUGAAUACAAAAGACAUGUACAUCUUCACAAUACUUUUUGCCACAUGUGGUAGGGAUCUUUACCUACUUCUUUUUAUGUCAUUAUCAUGUGGGAGGAAUAUUUACCUCCGUCUUUUCAUCCACAUAAGGUAGGGUGUAACCUAUAUGUUUUUUACAUUUCUCGCAACCUAGUAGGGCAACACCAUGAUAACGUGCAACACAAGAACUAACAUCUCUCGAGUGCAUCCGUCAGAGCAUGACCCUCACAACCCCAACGGGUUUACUACCAAAUGCAUAUGCUUACAAGACAAGCAUAAGGCUGGGGAGAUAGUGAGUUCCUGACCACUACCGAAUAAUAACAACACAAGGACAGAGAAGGCAUAGUCUGAUAACUUAAAACACCCAAGACCAGGCAAAGUAAUCCUAGAAGAACAAUGCAAACAAACAUAUGGUACCCACUAAGACAUACAAGCAAGCAAGCAAUGUUAGUGCGAAUAGCAGAGAUGACGUUCAUGAUAAAACAAAAAUGCAUGAGUCCAUAAAGGGCUAUCUAGAAAUUAAANNNNNNNNNNNNNNNNNNNNNNNNNNNNNNNNNNNNNNNNNNNNNNNNNNNNNNNNNNNNNNNNNNNNNNNNNNNNNNNNNNNNNNNNNNNNNNNNNNNNNNNNNNNNNNNNNNNNNNNNNNNNNNNNNNNNNNNNNNNNNNNNNNNNNNNNNNNNNNNNNNNNNNNNNNNNNNNNNNNNNNNNNNNNNNNNNNNNNNNNNNNNNNNNNNNNNNNNNNNNNNNNNNNNNNNNNNNNNNNNNNNNNNNNNNNNNNNNNNNNNNNNNNNNNNNNNNNNNNNNNNNNNNNNNNNNNNNNNNNNNNNNNNNNNNNNNNNNNNNNNNNNNNNNNNNNNNNNNNNNNNNNNNNNNNNNNNNNNNNNNNNNNNNNNNNNNNNNNNNNNNNNNNNNNNNNNNNNNNNNNGUAACUAAAGAACUUUGAGAAAAACAAAUAGAACCGAACGACCAGAAUAGAAAAACACAUAGCACCGAAAUCGGACAAUGAACGAAUAAAAGCCCACACAGAGAGAAAGACGAAACACACAACAUAAGAAUGGGUAGAAAAGAGCAGAACUAAGAAGAAAUGGUCAUGACAUUACAAUGGUUAUCAGAACGAAUAUUAGACAAGUGACAAGUACCCGCACUAUCAAACAUAUUACAUAUAUCUUUCUCAAAAAGAACACAGUAGCCAUCAUCACAUAACUGACUUAUACUAAAUAGAUUAGAACGUAAGUCAUGAACCAAUAAGGUGCUAAUAUUAGACAAAGCACCAAUUUCAGAUAGGAUCCCCUUACCAAGAAUUCGAGACUUCUUACCAUCACCAAAAGUAACAUUACCAAGGGUGAUUUAGGUUUUGGUCACCACUUUUUAGUAUAAAUUAGGUUUUGGAGCCGGUUUUUAUCUUUAUUAGGGUUUAGAGCUGAACCGACAAUUGACCCAAGUAAUUGUUUAUAAUGGCCAAAAUACCCCUGAUCAAA
rnacentral:lncRNA from 1 species